rnacentral:lncRNA from 1 species
UUUUUUUUUUUUUUUUUUUUUUUUUUUGUUAGAGUAUCACGACGUUAUCCUCACAGGUUUUCAGGCCCAAAGACUAAUCCGUGCCGAGGGAUCAUGUCAGAACGUUUCCUCUCUUCUGGCCACCAAGAAUUCGAACCUAGGUAUGAGGGUUCCACGCCUAGACUCUUACCAACUCGAUCACAUGUGGUGGUUACUAUAUGAUAGUCUUAAACGAGUUAAACGACUCCCGCCCUGUAAAAGAACGAUCUGAAACUAUAUGAGAAAUUGUUCAAUGUAUUGUAGCCCGUUUCUUGAAUGUUGAAUGCACAAGUAGUUGAAUGUCUAAUUUGAUGCCAUCAACAACAUCCAUCUGUCCAUUUAUUAUUUGGGAACCAAAGUCUGGACCGCUUGAUCAUUGAUGAAGUAUGUGUACUCUGGUGAUAUAAGUGACCAAGAUAAGAAGCAAAAGCAGAAAUAGCAUGCAGGGGUUUCAGUUACUUCUGGCAAAAUAGUUAUUGAGGUUCCCACUGGGGCUAAAUAGUGAUAAAGAUGUGUCAAUGGAGACAUAGUAAUGCUGCUUCAUUAUAAACACACCUCCAGCCACACUCACUUAGAAAGAUGAUGGACCAUUGACUGUGUAUAUUCUUCUAACUUGGAUAACAAUCAUGUGCUGGUACAUUAUGGUGUUUCAGCUUAGGGUUAGGCAUGAUGAAUUAAUCAGAAAGAACAGGACAAAAAGAGCCACAAUAGUACAACAUGGAAAAUCCAUAUAUAAUGUCAAAUCUCACUGUAGAGAUUCAUCAACAACUACAACAUUACAGUAUCAGAGAGUAGAGAAAGAUGGGUGGUAUUCCAUGGACUGCGGAAGAGGAUCAGUUGCUGAGGAAGUGCAUAGAGAAGAAUGGAGAAGGCAAAUGGCAUCAAAUUCCUCACUUAGCCGGUAAUUAACUUGAGUUAUGUUAAUUAAUCUGUUUUCUGCACUACUAGCUUGUAUGUAUUUUGGAGACUAGGAAAAGAUUGAUCAAUGACAUGGUUAAGGUUCGAAAUCAGGUCUAAACAGGUGCCGUAAGAGCUGCAGGCUUCGAUGGCUAAACUACCUUCGGCCAAACAUCAAGAGAGGGAGCUUUGAACAAGAGGAAGUUGAACUCAUCAUCAAGCUCCAAAGGCUCCUGGGAAACAAGCAAGUUCAUCUCAAACUCACAUAUAUAGCUCUCUUUCAGUUGACAUUUUGUCUUGAAAUGUUACUAUCGACCAGUGCUCCUUGAACACACACUUUUCACUCUUUCAAUUAACUAAACAGUGCUACAAAUACUUCUGAUGAUCUGAAACUCUGAAACCGCUUUUGACAGUUUUUGAAGUACCAAAUACACUAACAAAUAUAACACACCCAGGUGAACUUUAUUUGCUUUUAAAUUUUCAGGUGGUCAUUAGUUGCAGCUAGGCUUCCAGGAAGGACCGGUAAUGAUGUGAAGAACUAUUGGAAUUGCCACUUGAGCAAGAAGCUAAAUGCUCAAGAACCUCAUGAUGAUCAUCAGAAGAUAAAUCAUGCAAGUAAUGUACAAGUCAUCAGACCCCAACCUUCAAAAUAUGCCAGCUCAAACUCAAAGAGGCCAAUGAUAAGUAGUACUCUUGAGGAUCAGCCUUGCCAAGCCUUGGAGGAAAGCAACAGAUCAUCAAAGGCAAUCCUGUGCAGUAUUGAUAGAGACCAGGGGCAGAUCGGUCAGAUAGUUGAGAGAGAGGAUAGCAACAAUCCAUGUGUAAAGGAAGAACAGGAAGGGAACAAUGACUUCAUUGGUGAUUUCGGGAUGGUAGACCUUGAUCAAUUUGAACAAGUUAUUGAGCAAUAUGAUCAAGAGGUCAACAACAACAACAACAAAUGGGAGUGGGAUGACUCCAUCUUGGACAUGGAUCUUUGGAUUUCUGACUCUUCAUAAAUAGUUAUGAAAGUGAUUUUAUUCUUAGGUGUCUACUAGUCAUUAGUAAGAUUAUGAUGCGUGAUUCUGUAAUCAAAAUAAUGUUCAUGUAUCUUGUAGUAGACUAAUGUCGAAUUGCCAUUUCUUUGCAUUGCAAUGGUGAUAGUGUCUACUGCCUAGCAAAAUUGAAACUAGUAACCCGAUAGUACUCUAAUUAGAUUCUAAAAUUUAAUCAAUAUCUCGUUAUUACAUUAUCGAUAAUAAAUCAAUCAAUGAUUAAUUGAAAAGAAUCUGAUUAAAGUAUUAUUAGAAUGUUUAUCUAUGCGGCACCAUAAGACCGAAACUUAACAUCCUUUGCUUUCAUAAAAAUCAAAUUGCUUUCACCCAUUUAUCACACUUUAAAGUGAGAUAGUCUCUCUUUCUUUUGUUCAGCAAAUGGAGUCACUGAGCCAAAAACACCAUACUACUAGCAGAAGAGGUUUUGGAAAUGAAAACUGAAUAUUUUUACUUUUAUACCUCAAAAUAUUAAAUAACUUCAUAAAUUUCUCCAAUGUUUUCUAUCUCUAUUAAUUUAUCUUUAUUUAUUAAUUAACCCAGAAGGAUUAUAGAAUGGUUAAAUUUUUAAACUACCUAUAAUAUCUUCUAUAAGGAUUUAAGAAAUCACGGGUAUAAUGGACAACUUAACUGUUAGUUUUUUUAUUUUUUAAAUUCAAUCAUUUUUUUGGAGAGAAAAAAGUGGGAGAGAUAAGAUCAUAAGAGUGAUUAGUUAAACCAGUAAAUUGAAAAUAAGAAAUAAAAUAUAAAAAAAAGAGGAAAAAUAGCAUAUUGACAGUAGUGCGGGUCAAAAAGGUUGUCGGGAUAUAACGAAGCAAAGGAAAAGUAAAUGAUUAAUUUUAUAAAGCAAGCCAAUGAGCGGUUUCCACUUUCGAGUACAAGUAUAAAGCAAGCCAAGCGGCUUUUUCAUUCUAGUCUUUUCAUUUCCGAAUUCCGAUUGUGCUUGCAAGUCUGGUGCUUUGCCUUCAAUUCUGUCUGCCUCUGGUUAAACCCCUAAACCCUUUUGCUCUUCUUUGUUCUGCUUCUCCAUUUUUGUUACUAGUUUAUGAGAAAACCCAGUUUUACUAUCUGCUAAACACUAAUAUGUAUGUUCUUCAAAACCCUUUUCAUGAUUUGUUUCAUUUUCUUUAUGAUCACUCUGUGAAUGUUGCUGUGAAUGAAUCAUCUGCUAUGUUUUUGUGUUGGUAUUGAUUUGAUUGUGUUUUCGGCUCCAGAAGUGAUCAACUACCCAGUUGAAUGUUAGUGUAAUAUGUGCUGCUGACUGAACAAAACUACAGGAACCUGAAACUAAAUUGAUUUUCCUUGAAUUAACAUAAGAAAAGUCACAUCUUGGCUUAUAAAGUUGAGUACUUGGUGGUUAAAAUUUGCCCAUCUGCUCUGUUUUUGUGUUAGCAUCAAUUUGAUAGUGUGUGUGGCUCCCCAGGAAAGUGAUCAAACUAACUACCCAGUUGAAAUUUAGGGUAGUAGUUACGGCUGAUUGAACUAAAACUACAAGAAGCUGAAAUGAGUUUGAUUUUCUGCAAUAAACAUAACAUAUGACACCUCUUGGCUUUUAUAAAAUUUCAGUACUUUAAGUCAAAUGUUGCUCACUAUGUGUCUUAUUUGCAAAAAUGUUCCUGUUUUGCUUAUCUUACUGGGAUUUUUUUGUAUAGGCAUAAGUGUUCUUGUAAUGGCGUAUAUACCACCGCACAAGCGAAACUCAAAUGAAGCCGAGAGGCCAGUGCUAACUCCAGACAAGCUUGCUCCUUUAUUUAUGAGAAAUGUAAAUGUAAGGUCAUCUAAGUCUAAUAAUAAAUGGGGUUCAAAGAUAAUCUAUGCAGACCAUGCUAUAUCGAAAUGGUGGGCAGUUGGUUUGAAUGAUGACACCCGGUUCCCCUCUUCUGUUAAUCUUAAACCCAUUUCCUCGGAAACCAUUGAGCACAGAAUUGGAGAAAAGCCUCUAGCGUUAAGGAAUUCUGAUCUUGAUGAUGGUCAGUACUGUGAAAUUUGGCUUUAUGUGAAAAACUUUGUUUAGUCUGCGUUAUGAAUCAUGUUGGUAAUGUUUUAUGUGUUUGAUGCUUGAUAUUAGGUAAUGAGGUACAAUUGGACUUGCCAAAGAGCCCAUGGGUAUAUAUUGCAAAGAAUGUGGUUGAAGACCUACUUGUGUCUUUUGAAAAUGUGAAGGAGGAAGUGAAGUCCCCAAAGUUAGAAGGUCUAAAGCCUGCAUUGGUUGCUCGAGUUGGAAAAAUUCUUUUCCAUAGGUUACUGUUUCCUCUCAUUCUAAUGGGUUUAUCAGCUAAUCUUUCAUCCAUUUAACUUGAACAUCUCAUAAAUUUUUCCUUUUUCUUCUUGUUGUUUUAGCUGCGUACGAUAUGAACUUAUUUGACAAUCAUGUAUUUAGAGUAAUACUCUAGCAUAGAUGCAUGAGACUGUAAGUGAUAUGUGAUAUUUGACAAUUAUGUUUCAAGCAAUUUUUCUUUGAAGUUAAAGUAGGUCGCCUUCGUAAUGGCCAAAUUGACUGCCCAAAAUUUGAUUUGAUCGAACAAACUAAACACUUGGACCUAUUUGUGAUGUAGGAGAUUAGGUCCUCUUGAUUAAUCCAAUCUACUGCUGAUUUGAAGUGAGCAGAAAAGAAACACACACACACACACAUAUUAUACUCAAUUGUAUUUGAACAAAUGUAAACUAAAUGGUAAUAUUUGCAAUUCAGGACCCCUUCAGUUACCCUGGAAUCUCUCGGAGAAAAUUUGACUACUGCAAUGUUGAAAAAUUGGAAGAAAACAUCAUUUUACGCAAAUGUUCCUGUUUCGUAUACAGAGAAGAUUGUAAAUGAAGUUGUCCCGAAUAUUGGAGCUGCUUUUGAAUCGGAGAAAGAUAUAUACCAAGUAAAGGUAUUUAUCUUCCUAUACCCAUCAAUCUACUGAAUGUAUGGUUUCCAAAGUUCUGAUAUUGGCUAUUGAAACCCUCAUUUGGUUCUUCUUGAACAGUUGGCUGAUUCAACAAAACCAGACUCAACUCUCUCCUGCAAAUGCAGUGUGAAAGAUGGAAAGCUACAACUGUACAAGGCAAGAUUUAUAGUAGUCCUGUUAUAUUGAAUUUGGUGUUUAAUAAAUCAUGAUAUCACACUUCUAUGUCAUCAUUUUCAAUAUGAUAUUUUUACUGCAAAUUCAUAAGAUUUUUAUAAGAAGAAUAAUUGUUAAAUGAGGAUGAAAUCAAAAUCUGCCCUCCUGUAAGUUUCCUUUUCGCUUGUUAUAGUUCUAUUUACUGUUGCGUAUAUCAAUAAUCAACUUUCAUCCAGGUUGAACUAAACCAAGUGCGUUUUAUGUUGAUGGACAUGUCCAUCCCUAAUAAGAAUCUGGACCUGAGACUGAUGUUAAACAUGAAGAGAGUUUUAACAAGUCAGACUGUAAGUUACUUCUCCUCGUACUAUUUGAAAAUUUUUCAUUGCCAUUCUUUGUUGUUUUAGAAACACAAGGAAACUAGUUAUUAUAUAUUAGUAUAGCAGCCAAAACCAAAACAAGCUACAGAAAAAGGUGAAUUGUUAUCUAUGUGUUCAGAUUAUGAGUGUUAAGAUCAAGGGAGGAACUUUUGUACAUUGGAAUGAGGUUUUGUGAUCAGAUUAGUCUUUUCUGUUUCAGGAUGAUGAGAUGCAAAGCAUUAGGGAUCUGGUUGAUUCUGCGAUUACAGAUCCAGAUGUGAAGGGUGGGUUGAGAUGGCCCCUGGAGAAGACAUCUUCUGGAAAGUACAAUGUCAUUGGGGUUUGGCAUGUAAGAGCUAAAGCAUAUAAAAAUCAGUCAUUAAGAUUCAAGGUCAGGCAUGCCGAUCGAUUUGAUUUCAUAACCUCAAGUGGGGAAGCAUCUUGGGAGACCAGUCUGAGGUUGAAAAAGGUUGUCUCAGAGUUAAAUGUAAGUGCUCACAUUCCUCUGUGACUCACUCUGCCCACCUCAUGUACUACUCUCUUCUAAGCAUCUGGAGUAACCUCCUUUUUCUUUCAACUUUCAGGAAGAGAAGGUUGAUGUCAGCUCGGUUACUGAGAUGCUGGAGGAAGAUAUGAAGUUCAUCUGGGACAACUUCUUAACCUGUGAAAGUUUUCUCACAUGAAAGUAGAUGUCGUAAGUCUGUAAAUCUAUCUCUCUAUCGUUUCAAUUCGUCAUUGCAGAGUAUGAGGAUAAUUAAAAACAGAUUGCCACAGCUGGUUUACUGUUCAUGCAAUGGCGGAGUUAUGUAUUUUGACGAUUUAGUGUAAUGCAUUAAGCUACUGACUUGGUAUUUAAGCUGUCUAUUUCAUAUAUAAGAUGUUCUUCCUUUGGUUACAAUUGAGACCGGCUUUGAUAUCUUGUGGGUGGAACCCCAUUUUUGAUACCCUUUUGAUGGCAUGAGCAAGAAGCCACAAACCACAAUAUAUCUCAGGCAAUAAAUCUUCAUAGCUUUUGAUAUGUCCAUCACAUAAUGUCGAAUUGCCAUUUCUUUGCAUUGCAAUGGUGAUAGUGUCUAAAGCCUACCAAACUUGAAACUCUUGAGUAACCCGUUAGUAGUCUAAUUAGAUUAUAGAAUUUAAUCAAUAUCUCGUUAUUACAUUAUCGAUGAUUAAUUAAAAAUAAUAUCCAAUUAAAGUAUUAUUAGAAUGUUUAUCUAUGCGGCACCAUAAUACCGAAACCGAACAACAUUUACUUUCAUAAAAAUCAAAUCGCUUUUACCCAUUUAUCACACUUUAAAGUGAGAUAGUCCCUCUUUCUUUUGUUCAGCAAAUGGAGUCACUGAGCCAAAAACACCAUAAUACUAGCAGAAGAGGUUUUGGAAAUCAAAAGUUCAAAACUGAAUAUUUUUACUUUUAUACCUCAAAAUAUUAAAUAACUUUAUAAAUUUCUCCAACGUCGGGAUAUAAAGAAGCAAAGGAAAAGUAACCAAUGAGCGGUUUCCACUUUCGAGUGUAAAUAUAAAGCAUGCCAAGCGGCUUUUUCAUUCUAGUCUUUUCAUUUCCGAAUUCCGAUUGUGCUUGCAAGUCUGGUGUUUUGCCUUCAAUUCUCUCUGCCUCUUGGUAAACCCCUAAACCCUUUUGCUCUUCUUUGUUCUGCUUCUCCAUUUUUGUUACUAGUUUAUGAGAAAACCCAGUUUUACUAUCUGCUAAACACUAAUAUGUUUGUACCUCAAAACCCUUUUCAUGAUUUGUUUCAUUUUCUUUAUGAUCACUCUGUGAAUGUUGCUUUGAAUGAAUCAUCUGCUCUGUUUUUGUGUUGGUAUUGAUUUGAUUGUGUUUUCGGCUCCAGAAGUGAUCAACUACCCAGUUGAAUGUUAGUGUAAUAUGUGCUGCUGACUGAACAAAACUACAGGAACCUGAAACUAAAUUGAUUUUUCUUGAAUUAACAUAAGAAAAGUUACAUCUUGGCUUAUAAAGUUGAGUACUUGGUGGUUAAAAUUUGCCCAUCUGCUCUGUUUUUGUGUUAGCAUCAAUUUGAUAGUGUGUGUGGCUCCCCAGGAAAGUGAUCAAACUAACUACCCAGUUGAAAUUUAGGGUAGUAGUUACGGCUGAUUGAACUAAAACUACAAGAAGCUGAAAUGAGUUUGAUUUUCUGCAAUAAACAUAACAUAUGACACCUCUUGGCUUUUAUAAAAUUUCAGUACUUUAAGUCGAACUUUGCUCACUAUGCGUCUUAUUUGCAAAAAUUCCUGUUUUGCAUAUCUUACUGGGAUUUUUUUGUAUAGGCAUAAGUGGUCUUGUAAUGGCGUAUAUACCACCGCACAAGCGAAACUCAAAUGAAGCAGAGAGGCCAGUGCUAACUCCAGACAAGCUUGCUCCUUUAUUUAAGAGAAAUGUAAAUGUAAGGUCAUCUAAGUCUAAUAAUAAAUGGGGUUCAAAGGUAAUCUAUGCAGACCGUGCUAUAUCGAAAUGGUGGGCAGUUGGUUUGAAUGAUGACACCCAGUUCCCCUCUUCUGUUAAUCUUGAACCCAUUUCCUCGGAAACCAUUGAGCACAGAAUUGGAGAAAAGCCUCUAGCGUUAAGGAAUUCUGAUCUUGAUGAUGGUCAGUACUGUGAAAUUUGGCUUUAUGUGAAAAACUUUGUUUACUCUGCGUUAUGAAUCAUGUUGGUAAUGUUUUAUGUGUUUGAUGCUUGAUGCUUGAUAUUAGGUAAUGAGGUACAAUUGGACUUGCCAAAGAGCCCAUGGGUAUAUAUGGCAGAUAAUGUGCUUAAAGACCUACUUGAGUCUUUUGAAAUUGUGAAGGAGGAAGCGAAGUCCCCAAAGUUUGAAGAUCUAAAGCCUACAUUGGUUGCUCGAGUUGGAAAAGUUCUUUUCCAUAGGUUAGUGUUUCCUCUCAUUCUAAUGGGUUUAUCAGCUAAUCUUUCAUCCAUUUAACUUGAACAUCUCAUACAUUUAUCCUUUUUCUUGUUGUUUUAGCUGCGUACUAUAUGAACUUAUUUGACAAUCAUGUAUUUAGAGUAAUACUCUAGCAUAGAUGCAUGAGACUGUAAGUGAUAUGUGAUAUUUGACAAUUAUGUUUCAAGCAAUUUUUCUUUGAAGUUAAAGUAGGUUGCCUUCGUAAUAGCCAAAUUGACUGCCCAAAAUUUGAUUUGAUCGAACAAACUAAACACUUGGACCUAUUUGUGAUGUAGGAGAUUAGGUCCUCUUGAUUAAUCCAAUCUACUGCUGAUUUGAAGUGAGCAAGAAACACACACACACACACACCAACAUAUAGUCCAGGUUGGAGAGGGGACCCCUGAUUCUAAGCCUCUGCCCUUACUUUCACAUAGAACUGUGUUUUGAUAACAAUGGUUAGUUACUGUCAAUGUUCCGCUACUUCAUAUAUUUAACGAUGAAAAAGCAUAUUAUACUGAAUUAUAUUUGUAGAAAUGUAAACUAAGUGGUAAUAUUUGCAAUUCAGGACCCCUUAAGUUACCCUGGAAUCUCUCGGAGAAAAUUUGACUACUGCAAUGUUGAAAAAUUGGAAGCAAAGAUCAUUUUACACAAAUGUUCCUGUUUCGUAUACAGAGAAGAUUGUAAAUGAAGUUGUCCCGAAUAUUGGAGUUGCUUUUGAAUCGAAGAAAGAUAUAUACCAAGUAGAGGUAUUUAUCUUCCUAUACCCAUCAAUCUACUGAAUGUAUGGUUUCCAAAGUUCUGAUAUUGGCUAUUGAAACCCUCAUUUGGUUCUUCUUGAACAGUUGGCUGAUUCAACAAAGCCAGACUCAACUCUCUCCUGCAAAUGCAGUGUGAAAGAUGGAAAGCUACAACUGCAGAAGGCAAGAUUUAUAAUAGUCCUGUUAUAUUGCAUUUGGUGUUUCAUAAAUCAUGAUGAUCACACUUCUAUGUCAUCAUUUUCAAUAUGAUAUUUUUACUGCAAAUUCAUAAGAUUUAUAUAAGAAUAAUUGUUAAAUGAGGAUGAAAUCAAAUUCUGCCCUCCUUUAAGUUUCCCUUUCGCUUGUUAUAGUUCUAUUUACUGAUGCGUAUAUCAAUAAUCAACUUUCAUCCAGGUCGAACUAAACCAAGUGCGUUGUAUGGUGGUGGACAUAUCCAUCCCUAAUAAGAAUCUGGACCUGAGACUGAUGUUAAACAUGAAGAGAGUUUUAACAAGUCAGACUGUAAGUUACUUCUCCUCAUACUAUUUGAAAAUUUUUCAUUGCCAUUCUUUGUUGUUUUGGAAACACAAGGAAAUAGUUCUUAUACAUUAGCAUAGCAGCCAAAACCAAAACAAGCUACAGAAAAAGGUGAAUCGUUAUCUGUGUUCAGAUUAUGAGAGUAGGAUCAAGGGAGGAACUUUUGUACUUUGGAAUGACGUUUUGUGAUCAGAUUAGUCUUUUCUGUUCCAGGAUGAUGAGAUGCAGAGCAUUAGGAAUCUGGUCGAUUCUGCGAUUACAGAUCCAGAUGUGAAGGGCGGGUUGAGAUGGCCCCUGGAGAAGACAUCGUCUGGAAAGUACAAUGUCAUUAAGGUUUGGCACGUAAGAGCUAAAGCAUAUAAAAAUCAGUCAUUAAGAUUUAAGGUCAGGCAUGCCAAUCGAUUUGAUUUCAGAACCUCAAGUGGGGAAGCAUCUUGGGAGACCAGUCUGAGGCUGAAAAAGGUUGAAUCAGAGUUAAAGGUAAUUGCUUACAUAUUCUGCCCACCUCAUAUGCUACUCUCUUCUAAGCAUCCGGAGUAACCUUCAGUUUCUUUCAAUUUUCAGGAAGAGAAGGUUGAUGUCAGCUCGGUUUCUGAGAUGCUGGAGGAAAAUAUGAAGUUCAUCUGGGACAACUUCUUAACCUGUGAAAGCUUUCUCACAUGAAAUUAAGUACAUGUUGUAAAUCUUUAAAUCUAUCUCUCUAUCGUUUGAUUCGUCAUCGCAGAGCAUGCGGAUAGUUUAAAACAUAUUGCCACAGCUGGUUUACUGUUCAUGCAAUGGUGGAGUUAUGUAUUUUGACGAUUUAGUUUAAAUGUUUAAUGCAUUAAGCUACUGACUUGGUAUUUAAGCUGUCUACUUCAUAUGUAAGAUGUUCUCCCUUUGGUUACAAGUGAGACCGACUUUGAUAUCUUGUGGCUUGAACCCCAUUUUUGAUACCCUUUUAAGUUUUGGUGGCAUGCGCAAAAACCACAAUACAUCUCAGGCAAUAAAUACUUCAUAGUUUUCUGAUAUGUCCAUCACAUAAUAUUUUGCUAGCACAACUGACACUAUACCAAGGAAUAAGAAAUAGGGGAAACCAUAAAAGUCUCCCUACCAGGUACUUACAUUAUUAAUCAUCCAAUUUGAUCUAAUAGCGGAACUAUAAUAUGAAUUAUACACUAUAAAUCAAUAUUCAUAUCACUAAUUUACUCUUCAGUUGCCGAUCGAGCUUGUACUCCAACGUCUGAUUAGCACGCAGCCCGGGACGAAGUCCACUGCCUUGUAAGGAUCACGUACUGACACUGCGAUACAGUUUGUUAUGGUUGGUAGUUUUACUUUUACUUAUUACCUUAUACCUCAUCUCUAGAUCAUCACCAUUAGUUCGUGUUUUUGCUUCAACCUCAUCAUGAUCUUUCCCUGAGUUCCUGUAUACCAUAUAUAGGAUCAUUUGUGCGAUGCCGAAUAGGAAUCCCAGUACGUUUGGUAACUGUUCAUCAUCAUAUGGUUACCGUAUCAGGCUGAUUAGUUUACUUGGAUUAACAAUAAUGACAUCUUAGGUAACAUCAGAUAAUGAAAGUAAAAUGGUAAUAGUACUACUUACUGCAAUGUAGUAAUCCUUUGUGAAAAGUCCGUAGAAGAACCAAGUGGUAGCACAAAGUGUGAGGAAUAAGGACAAACCAAAUGGCAUGAAUUCCACACUUUUGGUUCUUAUUACUUCCCUCUGCAUAAUGAACGUAAUAGUAGAGGUUGAGUAACCCAGAAAGUUAGCAUAUACUUGAAAAUAAGCCACUUCUCCAAGUUCUAGCAUAUACCAUAAUGCUUAAAGGAGCCGCAAAAACAGCAAUGUUAAACACAGCACAGAUCCAUCCAACUGCGGCGACGCGUUUGGUUCCACUUAGAAGGAAGAUAGUGGCUGCCAACGUCAACCCAAACGCUACAUUGACCAGCAGAAUCAAGUUCAGCGUAAAAAUCUGCAAGAGUUGCACAAGUAUAUCUCAAUCAAACUAGGAAACUUAAUAUGCAUGAGACAAGCUGUAUGAGAGAGAUUUGUACAAGUCACUCACCCUCUGCUUCUUGGGAGCAUAUGUGAGAUAGAAUAUGAGGUAAGCAACUUCGAUAACGAUUCCAAAGGCAUUGAUGCUGAUGAUCAAGAUAGCAUUUGUCUUGAUCACACCAUAAUACAACAACAACAUUGCACUCAAAAGCGCAACCACAUAUGGUAUGGAUUGGAACCCUUCUGAUGAUUUCUUCUUGUAAAUUCUGUAAAAUGUUGGCCUGAUCCAUGAGAAGGAGAUCGUAUAAGUUAGUCAGGGAUAAUACGUACGUACCAUGAAUGAGAAGUAUGUAUUUAGUUAGUGUUUGAGUUAAAUGGUCUUACAUUGGUGCCAAGAACACCAUGAAUGACACAAUGUUACCUGCAUAUAUGUGAAGAAUGUCAGCUUUAAUAAAAGUGAAUUAGCAUGAAAAAAUGAGACAAAAAUGUUAAAAUUUCCAAGUUUUUUUUCCUAGCUAAAGGAUGUUUAAGUAUGCAUUGUCUUCAGCUUUUUAAUUUAGAUAAUAUACAAUACCUAACAAACCGAAUGAGAAAGCGAGUUGCUCAGUAGUCGAAUACGCCAUAAGUUUGAUCUGGAGUAUGUAUUUCUUAUAAUGAUGAAGAUGCUUAUUUCUUUCUUUCUUGUUUUUUUUUCUUCGUUUUUUUUUUUCUGUUGAAGUUUUCCCAAUGCACUAGAGAUUGGCUCUGAAAAAGCUUGGGUGACUAUUCUGCUGGGAGCUUCCUUUAUAUAGUAGAAAUGUAAAUUAGGCAACUGAGCAAUCGAAAACAAUUAGGCAACUGGAUAAUGUAAGAAGUAACGUGAACAAUGCAAGAUAUAUUGAUUAUAUACACUGUAAUUUGGCUACCUUAAUCUGAUGAUGUACUUCGUCAUGUAUACACUGUAAUUUGGCUACCUUAAUUUGAUGAUGUACUUCGUCAUGUCACAUCCUGUCCAGUUGGUUUUCUAAGUUACCAUUGCUGGAAAAUGGGAACAGAAACUAAGCAGCAAGGUAGGUUUCUAGCUUUGGCCUAAACCAUGUAUAUACAACCAAAACCAAUCGAUAUUUUGACGAGUCGAUAGAAGGACUACACGAUCCAAUACUAAUCGAUAGUACAUGUUCAUGGAAGUAAGCUAUUAUAUAUUUCUCUAAUAUAAUCAGUAGAUCAAUAUGUACAUACAUGAGUUGUAUAUACAAGGUUUUAGGUCUACAUGAUUUGUCGCAUCACACUUGAUUUCAUGGACAUGUUCUAUCGAUUUACCAUUUCAGAGUUGGUAUAUACUCGCAAUCCAAUUAGUUGCUCUUAUAACAUAUAGAAAUUGGACGUUCUAUUCAAAUUACUAAUUUUGGAUUCAUUGAAAAGUUGAUAAAAUGCUGAAAAAUUGCCGACAAUCUUACCCAUAUGCUCCCAAACAUGCAUUCCCAGGUUUCAGUCGUUAAUUUCCAUGAAGAAAUAUAUCUAAAAGUGAACAUCUUUGAGAUUAAUUACAUAAUCUAUAACAUUGGCGAUCAGUCUUUCAAACCUUAAUAUAUCACACACACUCGGUUCUUUUGUGGUCGUGAAUUUUUUUGAUGGACUAGUACGUAAAUUGAAGCCUUCAUACAAGCUAAUUAAGUAGAAAGACCGUCCAAAAUAGGAACAACAUCAAUUAAAGUAAUCACUUGGCAUGCAUGCAUUAUUUUCCAUUUACAGAUUGAGACGUAGGGUUCUUACUAUACUAAUUAUACCUACGCUGCUUGCUCUUAAUCUUUGUAUAUAAAUUGCACUUGUAGUAGAGCAUAUAUGUGGAACUUUAAGCACCACAACCAGUAUAUGAUCCCUCACCAAAUCAAACACCGAUUGCCUAAGGAAAGGGUUAUGCAUGCGUAUAUGCAAUUCAAUUGUGCCGAACUAACCAGUAGUGAAUCGAAUAUAGUAUCAAACGACAAACCUUUCGCAAUAAUUCUUACCUAGCUUUAAUCUGUAUGUUUAUCUUUUCAAUUAUUUUGGACUUUCAGUUCCCAAGCCAAUGAAAUCAAAAGAUAAAUAUGUACAUGAAUGUAAUUCGUAAAACUAUAUACGUACGACAAGUACUAUGCAUGUUGUGGUAAUCUAGCUAGCAGAUUACAUCGUUAUUUCCUAAUAAACUCGACUGCAACUCUACAUAUAUAUAAUAAAACUAAUAUCUAAACACAGCCUGCAGAUACGUACAGAUCGGAAAACAAAGAAAAACCAGCAUUUCGAUCAUUUCGAUCAUGUUCGUGUCACACCGACAACACUCCUAAAGAUAAAGACAAUGGUGUUGCUGAUGAACUCAUCCCUCUCUGUGCCUUCUGCACUCGAAGAAAUUGAUGUACAAAAUAUUACUACUUUGCUAUAUGUUAAACAAAUAUGAUCGAGUAGCUAAUCAAAGGCUCACCAUUUCUGCUACAGUGUUCUUCCAAGCCUUGUCCAUCUCUUCAAAGACAUCGUCAACCGUAGGGCGACCCUUGCUUGAUUUGGCAACACAAAGUACUGCAAUUUGUAGAAUCGAAUCAAAGUCAGCCUUGUUGACAUUUCCAUUUAGUCUUGGGUCUUCAAGAUCCUCGGGUGGACGCUUGUUCAAACUCACAUCCUUCGCCUACAAAACCAAAAUUGAGAUCUCUCUCACUCUCUCUACAUAGAAACAUAUGAACAUUUGUAUGUACGUGUAUGUGUAUACGUAUAUAUACGUACCUUUCUUGUGAGUUGAUCUCUCGCAUCAAGAUCAAGCUCAAACACUUUCUGCCCUGACAGAAGUUGCAGGGUAACGAUACCAAAACUAUAGACAUCACUGGCACAGGUUAAUUUGGCAUUGGUCAUGUACUCUGGAUCCAUGUACCCUAUUGUUCCUCUAACAUCUGUAAAUACUUUGCUCUCCUCCAUCCCCAACAUCUUUGCCAACCCAAAGUCUGAUAGCUUGGGGUCCAAGUUCUCAGUCAAAAGGAUGUUCGUCAGCUUUGUAAAAGCAAAUUAACAUGGAUCAACAUCAAGUAAUUAUCCUUUCAAACACUAAUUCAUGAAAUUUCAUCAUAAACUACGAUAGGUAAUUACCUUAAUAUCUCUGUGAACUAUGCAGCCAUCAAUAUAGUGGUGUAGAUACCUCAAAGCAAGCGCACAGUCUCUGAGAAUCUUAACCCUUCUCUCCCAUGUCAAUACAGGAUCAUUUCCUGCAUGUAAAUACACCAAGACACGAGUUUUGAUUAGUAAGAUGCUAAGGAAUUCGAAAUAAUCUGAUCAGGAAAUAGUUAAGGAUCAUAUUGAGUUUAUACUUAGAAGAUGUUGAGCCAGAUUCCCUGAUGAGCAAUAUUCAUACACAAGAUAUUGCUCGCCGUCUUCGACACAGCAACCAAAGAGGCAAACCAAGUUCGGGUGUCGAACCCUAGAGAGCUGUUCCACUUCUCUUGUGAAAGAAUCUGAUAUGUUACUCUUGUUGAUGUGCUUAACGGCCACAACUUGUCCGCUAGGAAGAACCCCUUUAUAAACAUGACCUGCACUUCCUCGUCCAAGGUGCUUUCUUUCAGGUCCGUAAUUUAUGGCAUUCUCAAUCUCAGCCUUGGAGAAUCUAUACAGGCCAGACCACGUAGUAGUCGUUGAUCCUGAGAGAAUCGGUUUUAGGGGCUUCUUCUUCGUUACGUGUUUUAUCAGCAUGACUAUCAGCACUAGUCCAGUGAUGGCUAUCAUGAUCGAAAGUAUCGCUUCUACAAGGGAAUCUGUUGAGCUAAAAUGAUUAAUUUCUAUAAAAUUAUAAACAUCAAGUAUGCAAACGAUCAUGAAAUUGCAGUAAAGAAACCGAUACAAAGACUAAUGCUUACAUUUGAGUUUGAAGUAACCUGGUUCUGCAUGGGAACCAAAAACAAAAACACAGAGUUAGCUGUGAUAGAGUACGUUCAAUUCAGUGACCAACGUACACGAAGUAGUUUAUUUUCUUACCGAACUUGUCGAACUUAGUCAUACACCCAAAGUAGUCGUCAAUAUAAGCAUUCGAAAUGUUCCCGGCUGCAACGGAAAUAACCGCAGCUACACCGCAUAUCGAAUCUUCGGUUUUGUUGUUAUCAUUCUUCUGAUGAUACCGGUCCAACAAAUGUUGCUUAAGAUUUCCCACGGCAGCGGAGCAAGGGGUACAGACGGCAUCAAAUGAAGAAGAAGCAUUGCCAAAUUGAGAACAAAAGUUCAAUGCGUCUUGGUACUCCUUCCCUUGCUUAAUCUCUGCCAAGUUUACUUUGGAGCAGUCGCUGCUGCCAUCGUAAAGAUCAUUAAGGCUACAGUGAACGGCAGACACGUCUUGUCGAACAAAUGAGCCAGUGCAGUUAAUCCAUUCCGCAUUGGAAACAAAGACACCGCCCUGCGUUCUAAAGGCUUGGCAGGCCAAUGCUUGGGACAAAGUGGUGAGCACAUUUCGACAGCAGAGAUUUGGAAGUGUAAAGCUAUCCCAGACCUUUAUUCUCAGCUUGGCAGGACUUAUGCACUCCCCAGUUGGUUGGUAUGGGUAGGAUGUAAAGUUUAGCACACAACUUCCUGCAGUUAGUCAUGCAUGCAUGAAAUUGUUACGCUGCAACUCAAUUGAGUUCGAUCAAGAACUCUUAUAUAUAUGGACAUAGCAUAUAUGGACCACUGAUGUUAAUUGUUUGAUGAAAGUUUAAUAGAAAUAGUAUCGUCCUAUAUAUGGACCAAAUAUGCAUAUAUAGUAUUACAUACCUCACAAAAUGUGUGUGUAAUGACCAUUUACCUCUUCAAAAGCUCCCCAUAAUAGACAAACCCCAUCUUAUAUAUCAAACAAAUAUGAUAUGUGAAUAACGACAAGCUAACUAAAGAGAACUUUUAUCGAACAAAUAAAACGCAAAAUUAAUUUUUGUCGAAAGAUAACAUAUAGCUAGCUUGUUUCGAACAUGCUACUCGAUAUAAUUUGAUCUCAUGCCAAAGUCUAAUUGAGCAAACAGAUAAACCAACCUGAGCCAUCAUCGGGUGACAAAGAUAGUGAAAGGGCUUGGACAAGAAAAGUGGCAAUGAACAAAAUCGUGAAGUGUCUUGCUGACGUCAUAUGCCCCUAAACCCUAGAUCAUAUCAAUGCCCAUUCGAAAGAAAACGCUAGCUGUUUUGAUUAGUAAGUGAGAGAUACACAAUGCAACGAAACUUUUCAAAGGAAAUGAUGGAUUUGAAUACUUAUAGAAGCACUCUAAAUCCUUGAUGUCAUCGAUGAGCUAGAUAAACAAAUUAAUAAGAAGCAUAUUCUAGAGGUCCUCUUAUAACUUGGUUCUUACAGCUAGCUCUUGCAACCUUGUGAUAUCCGGUUGGGAUUUGAUCGUGUACUUGAUCGAGCCCUUUGAUUGUAGAGAGAUGCAAAGGAAUUUUGAAUAACAAUUAAGAAAACCACCCACUAGGGGAAUAGCUACAAAGGAAUUUGCAUAUAAAAAUGUUGGAACCAAUAGUGUAGAUCCUUAAACACAUCGCCGCAUCGCUGUAGUAUGAAAUAUAGACAUACAAUCAUAUAUUAUCUGUUAUUUGGUCUUUUUUAUUUUUAUUUUUUUAUAUUUUUUUAAUGCUUGUCAUGCCUGGUCUUGGAUGGAUGAAGAAUAACGAGUAAAAAAGGAAGGUUGGAUUGUGUCUUGUUCUCUUGACAAGCCGACCAUUAUGCUCUUUUGUUUUUUUUUUUUUUUUUUUUUUUCCUAGCCUUCAAAAAUUUCAAAGAAGGAUAGCAUGGAGUCAUGGACCAUACUGGCCAUUUUCUUGAGCUUCUAGCUACUCGAUCUUAUAUAUCCUCCAUUUUUGGUUGCCGGAUUGAGUAUUGUGUCAUGAUUGGGAUUUGGUGGUAGUCUUGACUCUUGAUCAUUGUGAGUUUCUAAGGCGGUCUAAUAAGACGUGUAAAUCAAAUGAUGAUCAUCCAUUAAUUUUUAUUUCAAGUAAUGUUCUUUUGGAUCUUGAGGAAUAAACAUAGGUAGUUAACUAGACUUAGGCUUAUAAGUCUGUCAAUUGGCUAAGGGGGUUGAUUUGGAGACUCCAACCAUCUCAUAUAGGAAAUGAGUAUCCGUUGUUAAUUCGUGUAUAAAAAAACUUGGCCAAGUUCAUUCUAAUACAUAAUCUUGAUCCGUUCAACCAAACAGAAAACACACAAAAAAUAUUUUGAAUUGAUACAUGCAAAGAUAUAACAUAUACGUCAAUCCCUUUAUAUUUUUCUUUGGUUACAUGUUUUUAAUAACUCUUUCCUUGAAUGGUUGGACCAAAAAUAAAAAUCUAGAAAAAAAAAAAUAUUUUUAGUACACAACAUGUAUUUUUUAAGAAUAGAAAAGAUAAAAAAAUAAUUAAAUGGAAAAGAAAAAGAAUAAAAGAAAAAGCCCAAUUGGAUACGUCACGGCCCUGGUUUCCACACGAUUGCUACUCUCUUAUCCAACAAAAACUUUGGCGCCCUUCUCUUCUCGUCCUUCCUCUCUUUGCCUGCGUCGUCCUUUUGUGCAUACUUUGUCCUUCCCUUCAUUUCACUCCCUGCAAACCAAGAUAAGCUCCUGCUGCCAUGCGCGUACUCUUCUCCUCCAACUCACCCCAAGGUACUCUCUCUCUCUUUCUAUCCCUAUCUUUAUAUCCUAAUAUCCUAUAUAUGUGUUAUAUAUGAACCCAAUAUUGCAACAUUGCUUAGAAUCGACUCACUUUCUAGUCCUACCGAACUUUCAUGUCUUAUAUUGGGUAAUGAAAGUUUCAGGUGUUGGGUUUAGUUUUACACAAGAGUAUGUUGGAGAAUUCAUUACUUGACAGUAGUCACUAGUAAAGUUUGAGAAUUUAGUGUUGAUUCAUUUAUCUGUAUUAUUUGGUAUUGACAUAAAUAGGCAAAGUUAUCUUCUUUGCAUCUGGUAUCAAGAUUUAUGAGGUUUUUAUGUGCUUUUUCAUUUGAAUAUUGUAAGGAAAAUGACUUAUGUAUAGUGCAAAAUGCCAUCUAGAUCUUCUGUCCAUUGGAACAAUCGGAUGAUUGGAUCAUCGUUCUCGGAAAACAACUAAGGUAAGAUCAAUUUUUCAUUUUUUUAGUUACCUUUGUUCAAUCAAUUGUAUCAAAAUAAUUGUGGGAAUGGAGUUCUCAUUAUGUGCAUACUAUGCAAAACAAGAGAAUGACUACCAACUCAUAUGAUGAACUGUGAUCAGGUCUGAAUUGAAGUAUGGCACUGGCCGCGCGUUCAAUCUCCCUGUUCCAUAAUGAUAGUAUUGGCAGUACAUGUAUGAGGUUGGGAUUUACAAGUGAAGAAAGGUUUCAGAAGAGAAGGGUGGUUGAUUUUCAAGUGGUUGUGAAAUUUUGUCCCAAUAGCAGAAAAUCAAGAUACUCCCAAUUCAUUAGUUCUGAUAGAAACUCUUCUGGUUUGGGGUCGAAAUGGUCUUCUAUGCUCUCUAGGAGGACUGAGAAGGCCUUUUCAAAAAGGGGAACAAGAAGUAGUGAAAUUGAGGUAACUUGCACAAUGCAUCUGCAUUUGGUUUUUCUGUUCUAAAUUUCUAACUCAGCUAGUGAUUGAUGAUUUGUUUUCCUUCGUAUAUGAAGACGAAACAGGUGAUUAAUGUUAUACUUGAAGAAAUAUCAAGUCUCGUUAGAGAGUGGAGUCAGUUACACUUCUUGAAAGUAGCCGGUUUACUGGUAUGCGCUCUCAUGGUGAUACCUUCAGCCAAUGCUGUUGAUGCUCUCAAAACUUGUUCCUGCUUACUUAAGGAAUGCAGGUAAUGCAAUCAGUCAGCUUUUUAAACAAGUCUGCGGUUCUUUUCUUUUUCUUUUCCUUAAUUUGAUCACUGGAACAUUUGUUCAUGUUAGGGUAGAACUUGCAAAGUGCAUUGCAAACCCGUCCUGUGCUGCCAAUGUAGCUUGUCUGCAAACUUGUAAUAAUCGUCCUGAUGAGACAGAAUGCCAGGUUAGGUUUGUUUCAUAUGUAUCUCUAUCUUAAUCAAUUUCAAAGUGCCAAACGCUAUAGGAUGGAAAAUCUGAUAUGUCAUAUAUGUCUUUCUUGUUCCUUAUUGCAGAUUAAAUGCGGAGACCUGUUUGAGAACAGUGUCGUGGAUGAAUUUAAUGAAUGUGCGGUGUCACGAAAGAAGUGUGUACCUAUGAAAUCCGACGUGGGAGAAUUUCCUAUCCCAGAUCCUUCUGCUCUUGUUCAAAGCUUUGAUAUGGAAAAGUUUAAUGGGAAAUGGUUCAUCACUAGUGGCUUGAAUCCUACCUUUGAUGCUUUUGAUUGCCAAGUGCAUGACUUCCAUACAGAAUCUGGCAGACUUAUAGGAAAUUUAUCUUGGAGAAUAAGAACCCCUGAUGGUGGAUUUUUCACCCGAACAGCUGUUCAGAAGUUUGUGCAAGAUCCAAACCAGCCUGGCAUACUAUACAAUCAUGACAAUGAUUAUCUUCACUAUCAAGAUGACUGGUAAAUUCAUGUCACAUGUAUACCUUAUUUUUUUGUUCAAUGUGCAUUUCUCUAUCACCUCAAAACAUUAACAGAGAUAUGAACAUGACUUGUGCAGGUACAUUCUAUCUUCGAAGAUAGAGAAUAAACCGGAUGACUAUAUAUUUGUAUACUACCGUGGCAAGAAUGAUGCGUGGGACGGAUACGGUGGUUCUGUGAUAUAUACAAGGAAUUCAGUUUUGCCACAAAGCAUUGUUCCUGAACUUGAAAAAGCAGCUGCGAACGUGGGACGAGACUUCAGCAAGUUCAUCAAAACUGAUAAUACUUGCGGGCCUGAACCUCCACUUGUAGAGAGGUUGGAGAAGAAACUUGAGGAAGGGGAGAGGACCAUUAUAGAGGAGGUUGAACAGAUAGAAGGGGAGGUGCAGAAGGCUGAACAGACUGAGCUGUCAUUGUUUCAAAGGUUAGCAGAAGGGUUUAAUGAGAGGUUAGCAAAAGGGUUUAAUGAGAUUAAACAAGAUGAGGAGAACUUCUUGAGAGAGCUUUCCAAAGAAGAGAUGGAUAUAUUGAGCGAGCUCAAAAUGGAAGCAACCGAAGUAGGAAAGCUUUUCGGACGAACACUUCCUCUUCGGAAGCUAAGGUAGUCCAACACUGAAAGAUCAUAGGUUUCUUGGUUACUUAUACCAUACUGUUAUUCAUAUAUAUUUUUUGCAGAAUGUAAGCUGAUGCAAAAAGCUAUAUUUGCUUUCACAAUCAAAUAUAAAAGUCUUCUACUUUUGUUUCUGAGUAUCAAAAUUUACAAGAGUUUACUCUAGUCAACUGAUCCCACAGUUUGACGACUAUAUUCAUAAAACUCAUGAAGGUAAGAGUAGUGGGUAAACUAUAAUAACAGAAAUUCCCUUGCCAAUUUACUAGUGGUCCAUUGCCGUCUCAGUAAUCUGGCUCAGGACCAAGGGUUAAUGCCUCUCACGAUUUUUGUAAGUUUUCUUUGUUUCUCUAAGUUUUAAUGUUACAUUGACAUUGAAGAAAAGAGAUGAAAUCACACAAGAAGACCUGAAAGUUGAGUAUAAGAAAUGUUGAAGAAAAAAAAAAAAAAAAAAAACAGAGAGAAGAGAACCUCAUCAUACAAUUCUGGCCCCAAGUCUUGAUUCCGCUCUUUAGACAUGAAUGCUUCUUCUUUGGUGUCUCUGAGGGACAAAAGCCUUACAUGGCUCAUCAUACAAAAUUAGAAAUGGAAUGCAUGUAUGUGCAAGGAAGGACAAUCUAGUGACCAAUCUUUCUAGGUGGAACAUUCAUUGAUUCAGGUUGCCCUGCGGCUGGUGGUGCGGUCCAAGAAAUUGACAGAUUUAGAGUUUCCAUUUGUUGAUUCUGCGCUCGUAAUUCCUCCAAUUGUGACAGUAGUCUCUUCUUUUUGUGGUACUCUAUUGUUGCUAUGAGAAAUACCUGCUUCGUUGGAUUCUUCACUGUUGCUUCUAGAAGUAGCACUUCCAUAUUUAUCUUGGCUGAAACUAGUACCUUGAUCACUGUUGCUCUUGCUUUUACUUCUUUGGUCACCUGAAGAAGCGGCAUCGUCUCUCUCAAAUGAAUGCCAUUCUUUGGAGUCAACACCACUUAGUUGACGCAAAUUUUGGUCAUAAACAUCCUUAUUUGAGUUGUCAUUAGCAUAAUGGCGGCGGCUAUUGUGUGCACUUCUGAUACUAUCACUGUCUGAAGCCUCCUCAUUGCUCUCAUCAUCGUCGGAAAGACUGUCAGAUUCAGAGUUACCAUCCUGGAUUGUAUAAGCUGGAACAGGAGCAGGAGUAGCCUCAGGAGGAGGCGGACUUGUUGAAAGAAAACUUAGAGUUGUUACAACAUCACUCAUGAAGGGCCGGACUGAUGGCUCCUCUUGCAGGCACAUUGCUGCUAUCGCAACAGCCUGAUUUAGUUCCUUCUCCGGAAAUUGCUUGUUAAGAGAAUGAUCGGCCAUAUCUGGAUAUUUUUUUGGGUCCCUGAAUAAGGGUUGUGCCUGCUCACACGUACAAACCAGAACAAAGUCACAUUAAAUUUGAUAUUCAUAUUCCUGUAAGGUCACACUAUCACCUGUAAUGAGAAGUUAUUUUACCCAAGCAACUAGGUUUUGCUCAUCAUUUGCUCUUGUAGUGUCAAUGGCUCUUCUUCCAGUAAUUAGCUCCAGAAGAAUAACUCCGAAGCUGUAUACAUCCGAUUUCAUUGUGACUUCACCAGUUCUCGAGUACUCUGGAGCACAGAAACCAUAGGCGCCCAUCAGCCUUGAUGGUCCAUGCAUCCUAUCUCCGGCAUUGCCAAGCUUGGCAAGUCCAACAUCCGAGAUCUUUGGAUUGAAUUCUUCAUCUAACAAGAUAUUUGAAGAUUUGAAGUCCCUAUAUAUAACGGGUGGAUUGGCCUUCUCAUGCAAGUACUCCAAUCCCAGAGCAGCACCAUAAGCUAUUUUAAUCCUCGUGUACCAAUCUAAAGUCAUUUUACCUGCUUGAUUAUCUGCACAUAACUAUUGAGGUCAAAUACAUACUCAUCAUGAUACAAACGGAACAAAUGAAAUAGUCCUAAAUCAAGAAAAAGUAGCAGAAAAGAGGAUGCUAUGUACCAAGAACUCGGUCUUCUAGAGUGCCGCCUGAUAUGAAUUCGUGGACCAAAAGCCUUUGAUCUCCAUCGGCACAAUAUCCAAUAAGAUUAACUAAGUUUGGAUGGUGUAGGAGGCUCAGUGUCAAAACCUCUCCCAGAAAUUCCUUGUUUCCAUGCAUUCCAUUUCUGUCGAGUUGCUUCACAGCCACCACCUACAAACAAGAUAGGAAAACAAACCUUAUAAGUACAUCAACAAGUCUUCAUGAAAAAAAGAAACCAACAUGAAAGAACAACUUGCAUUGUGUACACUCAUAGAUUGAAAACAAAGUAAGAGUCUUUCUAACCUGCCCACUCGACUGAAGAGUUCCCUUAUAAACUCUUCCGAACCCACCUUCUCCUAGAAGGCACUCCUGACGGAAGUUCUUUGUUGCUGUUGCUAGCUCACGGAAAGUGAAACUCUUUGCAUUGAUUUGUGAUAUGUCAACUUCCACAUGCGAGUGUGACCGCUGUUUUGUGUGUGUUGAGUGCGAGUGUGAGUGUGUUGAGUGUGUUGAGUGUGUCACAUAAUGCGUCUCAGCAGGUCUUUGUUUUUUCAUUUCUGCAGACAAAGACAGUAAUUUGUAAGGAGCAUGCAGGAAGACUAGUAUAACAUAAAGGGAAUGAAGUCCUUCUACCAGCAUUAUGAAUCACAGACAAGGAGAGGGAUUAACAUUAUUUAUCAAAUUCUUUUCUGUCUUGCAUUAUGAAUCACAUAUAUAUUUAUCAAAGAAGAUUUAUGUCUACAACCAUGCCUUUGAUAUGUUAAACAUUAUUGAUAAUCUCAUUGGCUUUUGAAUCUAAAUUUUAUUCCUUGAAAACAUAUAUGAUGCCAUUUCACAUUGUAGUUGAGACAAAAUUGAUUUAGGGUUUACACACGAGAUUAUUACUUUUUGGGGUAACUUACCAAUGAGAUUAUGAUAUCAUCAGAAGUAACCAAUACUUCAAGAGAAAAAAAAAACUUACCCUGUUCAACAGGGGGUGCAGAAGCGUGAUCUACCCUCCUGUGACUUGAUCUCUUACUUCUCUGUGAGCCAAAACACGGAAAACAACUCAUCUCGUCCACUCUAACAAGUUGAUGCUUUUCAAAACAAAACAAGCGUUAACAAUGCAAGAAAGUUUUCCUUCCAGUUUGACAAGAAAUGAGAGGAGGAGGAGGAGGAGGUGGAGGAGUGGGAUCAGGGUCCUCCAAGGAAAAUGAAGAAGGAGGACCCCGAAGGUGGGGCGAUGGCAGCUAAUUGCAGUUUGAAGCUACGGGGGAAAAAAAUCUGAAUCAUUAACAAACAAAGGAGAAGAGAACGAAUGGGAUUGCUAAGUUUUGGAAGGUACAAAAUGUGAGACUUUUCCUUAGACUUCUCGUCAGAAAAAGGUGGGAGAUGUGAGGGGGAUGCUUUGCCUUAUGAAAACAAAGAGAGCAAAUUGUGGGAAUGUAAUUGAAUUUCAGUUAGCAAUACAGGCUAUACAUGGAGGGUGUCCAACCAAUCGAGGAUGAAUAAUCUUUGACACCAGUUAUUUAGGGAUAUUGUUUUGUCUUAACACAUAACCAGCUCUAAAUUGUUCACUAUGUUGGUGUAUUCUAACAAAAUCUACUCUUCACACCUCACAAUGCUUAUAGAAGAUAACCUCUAUAUUCUAGCUGCCUCAAGUGUCUCAUUUGACUUGAUUUAUAAGCAAGAAAACAAUUAAUACAGAUGACUAGCUUAUUGAGUUAUAAACAUUGUAAAAAUAGUAAAGUAAAGUAAAUAAAUAAAUAAAAAUCUCAGCUGAUUUCACUGAACAGCCUCAGCUGCCAUUUGAAGGACAGUUGUAAACUUCAACCCAGAAGUUCACAACCCUCUGUCAUUCACUUCCAAGAAUCAUCCUCAGAGAUGUUACAUAUGCACCUAGUUUCAAAAACUUCAAACUUCAUCACUACUGUUUUUAUUUUAGGCAAUCAGACAGAGAAAGGCAACUCUUAACAGAAAUUGACAUAUAUGAAUCACCUAAAUGAAGAAAAGAAGACAAAACUUUGAUAUGGUACUUAUAUUGAAGUAUGAAUGAUGGAUUACAUAAUUGAGUAUAUGGCUUUCAUUCGAGAUCAUACGGUUUCCUUAAGGUUUUUAGACCCACAAGGCCGCAAUAUAUAUAUGUGUGUAUAUAUAAUAAAAUCCAGAUCGAGGAAUAUUUCUUGUGUCAUGGCCGUCUAACCACUUGGAAGAGGACACAUGGUAAAAAUAAGAAUUUAUCAUCGACUUCACCAGCUCAUGAUUACAACGAUUUCCUUAAGGUCUAAGUUUAAUUCCAGUCUUCUCCUCUCAAAAUAGUCACUAUAAUUCAACCCACCUCCCCUAAGGCUCUUCCUAUAACUCUACAAGUUGGUCCAAAGCAAAACCAGUUCAUCAAUCAUCACCAAACACAGUGAAGGAGGAGAAGGAUAAAGAGCAGGAGGAAAAACAAUCACCUGCGGCGCAGUGAUGAUGGAUCUGCUGGAGUUGCCGGAGGGUUGCAUAGCCCAUAUCAUAUCGUUGACGACUCCUCGAGAUGCUUGCCGGCUGUCUUUGCUUUCUAAGCUUUUCGGGUCAGCUGCCGAUUCCGACGCCGUUUGGGAUAAGUUCCUUCCGCCUGAGACACGCACCUUGUCCCCAGAGGAGCUUGGGGUACUUGCCGGCAGAACCAAAAAGGAGGUUUUCCUCGCUCUCUGCCCUGUCCUCUUCAGGGAGGGUAAACUGGUAAAUUCCUCAACCUCCCUUUUGAUUCUUGAGGAACAUGAACAUGUUUUUAUGAUUCAGUGAUUUUGAUGCUGUUAAUGAUAUUGACCAAAAUAUAAUGAUCGAUUUCAUCUGAAUGUUCUUUUGUUUAUUAAUUGCUGUCAUGUAGAGCUUUUCACUAGACAAAUGGAGUGGGAAAAAAUGUUACAUGAUUUCUGCAAGAGAGCUUGGUAUUGCCUGGGGCAACACUCCGAUGUAUUGGAGAUGGAUUUCUGAUCCUGAAUCCAGGUCUGGAAUUUUUGUCUUGAAUGUUUUUUUGUAUGCAUUAAGAUGGAUAUACAUGUUGGUUAUUAUUUGGUUAUAGAUUUUGGUCGUUAUUAGGGAUUAAGACUAGAUAGUCUUAUGGGUUGUAUAAUGUGUAUGUGUAUGUAACUAUUGACAGGUUUGCAGAGGUGGCUGAGCUUCUUGAUGUUUGCUGGCUUGAAAUCCAUGGGAAACUUGAGACACGUCUGCUGUCCCCAUCCACUAUGUACAAAGGUUACCUUGUGUUCAAGUUUACUGCACAACCUUCUGGAUUUGUAGACCUAGAGGCGGAGGUCACUAUGGGUCUUGACUCUCUUGAGGGAGGAGAAAUUAUUAACCGGACUGAGUUUCUGCACAGUGGAGUGAGAUCCGACGGGUGGUUGGAGAUUGAGAUGGGUGAGUUUUACUGUGUAGGGGGAUCAGAAGAUGGGAUGUUGAAAAUGCGUUGUUUGGCAAAUGGGGCGGGUCAUUGGAAGAGAGGUCUUAUUGUUCAAGGCAUUGAGGUCCGCCCCAAGAGGGAGUACUAGUAGAAUUUGAUCGUCUCAAAGUUGAUUCUCGUUUGUAACAUGUUUUAACAUAGCAAUUUUCUGCAAUAUGUUAAAGGUUCAAUGAAUCGUGCAAAUCGCUUAUGCUAUAUUGUGAAAAUCGGUACUUCAACUAUAAUUUGAGUCAUUGGCCAAUUUGUUAAAUUCAUAUCUCAUUUUUUCUGUCAUACUUGAAUUAUAGACCUGGAAAAGAAGUUUAAAAUUGAAACACCAGAUGAACCUAGGAAAAAUUUAGUACAUUGUAUACAACUUGAAGAGUUCUUAUGUGAUAUGAUAAUGUGGAUGAUGUAGUUUUGUUGAACGUAACAAAUUCAGAACCGGAUUUUUUGUUCAUCUUUCUUUUUGAAGUGGGAUUUCAUAACCAAAGCUUGAUUAAUGGCAGGAAACGGGAGAAACCUUCUUCAAUCUGAGCAAUGAAGAAACCUUCUUUGUGUGUUUAAGCUCUUCAUUUUUUUUCAACUGGUUUUCAGGAAUUACUCACUGUCUAACUCGUGGGCGAACACACGAAGGAGAUCGGUCAGUUGGCCUAUGACUACGCCUUUGAAGGCCGUCCUGCUCCUCUCACGGCUCUACUGAACGUGGCCGCUGAUAAAGUCAAUGAUUCUGUCGUGGAGCGGCCGGAUUUUAGGUCGGGGUUUAAGGAGAAGGCGACCAUUACGAAUGGCUUAUUAGGGAGGCUUUGGAUCUGGGCGUGGGGAGCGAAAAGUCGGAGAGGAGGAAGCUAUGAUAGAGCUGCUCCAGCUUUUCGGAGCUGUUGCUCACAGCGGUGGUGGGGAGAAGAGGAAGAAGAAGAAGAAGAAGUAGAAGAAGAAGAAGAAGGUGACUUCUUCGCCACUCAUCCGUGCAGCUCAGGUGAGCCUCCAUUCUUCUGUUCAGUUCAGUUUUCAGUAAUAAUCAGAGAGGAAAACAAUGGUUUCAUCAUAAUUUCCAAAUGUCUUGUGCUAAAAAUCUCCUUUUUGCAUUGGUUUCUGAUUUGGAUGAUCCAAUUGAAUUGAAGUCACUGGUAGAUGCAACUGGCUUUUUUUACUCUCUCUCUCUCUCUCUCUUUUGUGUUGGGAUUGGGUCCCUCUGGCCUAAUGUGGUGGUGUUGUUUUCUUGCUUUUGUUUAAUACUGGUUGCACUUUCACAUUCCGUAAUGUCUCCAAAGUGGAAAUUGGAAACAAUCUACUACUAUGUUAGAACAAAUCAGGAAAUACACGUAGUUGUUGCAUAGAUACAUAGUUAAUCCAUACUGGUAGCUUCUGAAGACAGUGUAGCAAGAAGAAAGUACACAUAGUUGUUGCAUGGGAACAAAUUUGUUGUCUAGAGCUCUGCUUUUUAAAGUGCGAACAAUUAUCAUAUACACUGUUUUAUAUCAAUGUAGCCUUGGGAUCAUCUUAUGAUACGUGACCAUAAUUUGAUAAAUUGCUGAUAGGGAGGAGAUGAAGCUAUUGUUCAGCUGCUCCUGAAGACAAACACAGACGUUAAUGAUGCUGAUGCAAAUGGCGAUACUGCUCUUCAUUGGACCCUUAAAUUGUCUAGAUUUUUUCCUCAACAUAUCAGGUCUCUCUCUCUCUCAGACACAUGUGCGCACACACACCGAUGCAUAUGGUUUAAUCAACUUACUAACUCUGUAUUCUUUCAAUCCCAGAAUUCUGUGGCUUCUUCUUGAGCAUGGCACUCAUGUACACCAACGAAAUAAGUUGGGGUUGACAGCAUUUGAUAUUGCUGCUGGUAAUGGUAAUUCAGAGGCCCUUGAGGUACAAUAUGUUAUCUCUUCUACCUCUCCAAUUUUCUUAAUGAGUCAACAUUCUUGGCAUCCUGAUAAACAAGAGCACACAUUAUUUUUUCUUGAAUCUUAGGAGCGCUGACUUUGAGGCAUGGACAGGUUCUUCUGUUGGGAGACCUGGAUGGGAAGCACUAUAUUACAGGAAUGAAAGAAACCCCCCUGUCUGUGAAGAAUAGGAGCGAGGAGUGUGCUGAGCUUCUUUUGACUUGGGGAGCAAAUAGUGAAGUCCCUCAGCAGUGGUAAGGAACAUCAAAAAAUUUCUCCAGUUCAAUCAUGUUACAUCUUUACAGUAGGUGGGUUCUAGAGCCUCUUUAGUUGAAACUUUGAAUGCUAACAUAUCUUUUGUGCAUGUGCCUUCAUGAAUUUCUGCAAAACUGUUAAAAUACCUGUAGGCAAAGAGCUAUAGACUUGGCAACCUCUCAAGCUAUGCGCAACAUAUUGCUGAGCCCCAGCACUGUUAAUUUUAGUAAGUUCAUUAUUAAAAUAUGUGGAAUAAAUGUAUCAGGCAACUGUACCCAUCUUUCUUUAUAUUUGAUUCAACUUCCCUAAUCACUGUGCAGAUAGCUCAAGCAACAAGGCGGAGGUUUAUAAGAACUUUGACUCUCAUCGAAAAUGUGUCAGAGGAGCUAAGUGCUUUUUUAUGCAAAUUGUGUGGAGGAGUCUCAGGAAGUAAAAGAGGGAGCAGACCAGAGCCAUUCCUUUGCCGCUAAACUACUCAAACGCAAAGUCUUUGUUGGAGGACUUCCUCCUUCAGUGGACUCUGGUAAUGCACCUAUGAACUUUUAUCAAAUCAAUAUAAGUUGUAUUAGUUAAGAUGAUCUAGCAUGAUCAACCAUCUAAGUAACAGACAUACAGCUUUUUUUUUUUUUUGACUAACAUAAUUAUAUGUUUACCAUGUUUCAUUCAUUAGGUGGGCUAAAUAAAAAAAAGAAUUAGAGGGUUCAUUAAAAUUAUCUUCUUUUGAAGAUACCUUUUCGCACGAACCCAGCCAAUAGGAUGAAAUUAAAAGAGUUCCACAUCAUGAACUAUGUACCGCGCACAUCACUUAGAAGGGCUCUAGAAAGCAACAUAGGAAGAAAUAAAGAAAUAGAAUAUGAAAAAUAUAAGGUAAUGAAAGAGGGUCAUAUUCUAUUUGUACUGUAUCUGAGAUCAAUCUUAGCUAUUACCGCCCUUCAACCCCCCUAGACUUGGACUAUUUUUUGGUCUUUCAACUAAACAAUUGUAAUUUACUCUUUCGACUAUUGUGACGCAGAUGAUCUGGGAAAGUUCUGUGAAAAGUUUGGAUCAGUAGAAGAUGCUAUUGUGAUUGUGACUCAAAUUAAAAACAAGAUACAAUCUCGAGGCUUUGGUUUUGUCACAUUUAGACAGGAGACAUCUGCUUCAGAAGCUAUGAAAGCACACUGUGUCACCAUGAGAGAGAAGACAGUUGAAAUAAGAAGUUUGGUUUCAAAAUUGGUUUUAGGAGUUGAGUUUGAGAACAUGUCACCUCAACAAGAAGAGGAGAAUGUCAGGGAAGGGGAUAGCCCUGGACAAGGUUCUUGGGAUGAUAGAUUAGUACUUGGACAACCAGCAGCGUGCUCCAUUGAACCUCAAGUAACCAAGUGCUCUGAUGACUCGAGCACUCCUACAUGGCUAAAAGUGGUUUCCUGGGUUCUUGCAAGGUCUGACAAAAAAUUAAAACUAUGCUCUCUCCUCUCUGAAAACUGAUUUCCUGGCCAAGUUUGGGUUAGAACUGGAUCAUUUGUCUGGGGGUCACUUCAUGCUCAGUAACUUUCUGAAACGUUUCUUCAAAAUAUGCACCCUUGAUAAGCUCCCCAUAUGCAAACGUGGAACGCACAUGGUCCUCCGAUCGAAGUUCUCUAAUCCCUAUCGCUGACUCAUCCAUACACGUACAACAUCUCAAACCAUUUAUAUGUCUGCAUUGAUCGAGAACGUUGGUGAUUGUCUUCUAAACCUCUCAAGUGGCGAUGUUGGUGACUUAAAAUGUCUUCAGAACUAUUCGAAGUGUUUCCAUGAUGUUUCAGUUGAUAAUAUUGUUGAUUUAAGGUGCCUUCAUGACCUUUCACAGCUUAAAGGGACCACUAAUGUAGGGUGGGUCUUAGAAGAUCGUGUUCUCGCUUGUUGUGAUUCAAGAAGCACCAUUGAUUGCGAAUUAAGUAUGUUUCACACUUUCAUUAUUAUUAUUAUUAUUUUUAAUUUGAGUUUAGGUUUUCUUUAUGAUUUUUUUUUGCAGAGACAGAUUCAAGGGUGAAAUUCACACUCGUCACCCAGCAUGUCCUGUCAACCAGGUGUGGUUCUAUAAAAGCAGUAAAACAAGUCUUGAGACAUAUGUCACAUUUUUCCAGGAAGAAGGCAAUCAGAGAGGAAACACAUCGUCAGCAUGUAAAGAGAGUUGCUUGGACCGGGCGUUUGAUGGGAAGAGAAGUUGACGCCAUUUUUUUUAUACCUUGAUUGUCCACCAAAGAUUAAGAAUACCGAGUUUUUGGCGUCAACUUCUCUCCCCAUCAAAUGCCCAGUCCAAGUAACUCUCUACAUGCUGACGAUGUGUUCCCUCUCUGACCGCCUUCUUCUUCCUGGACGAAUGUGACAUAUGCCUCAGGACUUGUUUUACUGCUUUUAUAGAACCACACCUGGUUGACAGGACAUGCUAGGUGACGAGUGUGAAUUUCACCCUUGAAUCUGUCUCUGAAAAAAAAAAUCAUAAAGAAAACCUAAACUCAAAUUAAAAAUAAUAAUGAAAGUGUGAAACAUACUUAAUUCGCAAUCAAUGGUGCUUCUUGAAUCACAACAAGCGAGAACACGAUCUUCUAAGACCCACGCGACAUUAGUGGUCCGUUUAAGCUGUGAAAGGUCAUGAAGGCACCUUAAAUCAACAAUACUAUCAACUGAAACGUCUUGGAAACACUUCGAAUAGUCCUAAAGACAUUUUAAGUCACCAGCAUCGCCACUUGAGAGGUUUAGAAGACAAUCACAAACGUUCUCGAUCAACGCAGACAUAUAAAUGGUUUGAGAUGUUGUAAGUGUAUGGAUAAGGACUAGAGAACUUCGACCGGAGGACCAUGUGCGUUCCACGUUUGCAUAUGGGGAGCUUAUCAAGGGUGCAUAUUUUGAAGAAACGUUUCAGAAAGUUACUGAGCAUGGAGUAACCGUCAGACAAAUAAUCCAGUUCUAACCCAAACUUGGCCAGGAAAUCAGUUUUCUGAGAGGAGAGAGCAUAGUUUUGAUUUUUUGUGUCAGACCUUGCAAGAACCCAGGAAACCACUUUUAGCCAUGCAGGAGUGCUCGAGUCAUUAGAGCUCUUGAGGUUCAAUGGAGCACGCUGCUGGUUGUCCAAGUACUAAUCUAUCAUCCCAAGAACUCAGGGCUAUCACAUUCUCCUGUUCUUAUUGAGGUGACAUUUUCUCAAACGAAUUCUAGUUUUCUGGCGAGAUCGAUCUUGACCUUGUGUGAAGUUUUAGGACCGUCAAAUCAAUUCGGGGAAGGGAAAGUGGUCGGGGAUAUCUCUGUGUCCGCUCGGGUGCCUACCCGUCGUCGUCCAGUAACGGAGCGACGUCCACACUUUAAGCCCAGUGCAGACGUCUAGCCUGUAUAUAUAUAUGUUUAUAUUUAUAUAGCUUAAUAUAUUCUAAAGCAAUAAUAUCUUGAUGCAUAUUUAUAUCUUUACUGUGUAAGUAACAUUUGACAUGCGGUUACACUGCAAUCUAUGAGUCUCUUCCUUUUUGCAUAUAUAUGACAUCGCCGUUUAUAAUAAUGUGCUGCUAUCAUGCAUAUGUUUAUCAAGGGGGGACUCUUCUCUGGCAUUUAUAGGAAAGUUCAGCUAAUGCCACUGAUAAAGUUACAAAAGUAACGGUGAAGGUGAGGAAGAAUGCCCUGUUGAAGCUUUGAGGGUUCUGAAGUAUGGGGUGUCCCUGCACACGCUGGCAGAAAGCAGGUAUCUAUUUAUCAUUCGUUUGUUUGAUCAUUAAUUCAGUUCUAUUAUUGAUUUAUCGUGUACAACAUGACAUUUUUGAGAACCCUCAUUGUCAUAGAUGCAUACAUAUUAUUAUGUUUCACGUUCUUACACACUUGCUGUUUUAAUCAUUCACUUGUUUGGAAGUCAUUUUUUUAUUUUUAUUUGAAUGUGGUUUUGUUAAAGAUAAUUUCAUGUAGUCAUUCCUUUUCAUUCAAGGGUUACAACAUGCAAGGAUUUUUGACGUUCUGGCUCUUCUUUGUAUCAAAACGGUUUUACAUUUGACCUUUCAAAUUCUUAGUUUUUUUUUUCUUAACUAUCAAAUGGUAUUAGUGAAAAAACUUGCAUUAUUUUUUUUUUUUUUUUUGUAAAACGAAAAAACUUGUUUCUAAGAAAGAGUGAACGCUGAUCACUGAAUAUAAGUUUUCAGUUUAACAAUGAGACUAAUAAUGAUGUUCAAAUUUUGGAUUUACUGAUUAAUGUCCUGCACCAUUUACUGGCAGAUGGUUCAAUUGUCAUCAGCUUUUAGAUUAUAUACCAAAUUUGUGAAAUAGUUAUUUGUUGUUUUUGACAACAUUGAUCACAACUGUUAAACAUUUUGUAGAACUUAACUAAGAUUCCUAGACUUGACACACUCAUCAUGCAUAUUUUCUCUUUGUUGCUUAUAAUAGAGUAGGUCGGAUAUCCUAUCAUACUGACUUCAAUAACUUUGUGACAGAUCUUGCUAUUGUAGUUUUCUAAAUGGAUUUCGCGGUCAACGUUUUGGAGAACUUAACUAAGGUCCCUAGACUUGACACACUCAUCAUGCAUAUUUUCUCUUUGUUGCUUAUAGUAGAGUGUCAUAUAUCUUAUCUUACUAACUCCAAUUACUUUGUAACAGAUCUCGCUAUCGAAGUUUUCUGCAAUGAGACCACCCACAUUGAGUUCGCUGAAAGCUUGCUAACCUGCAUACAAAGUACUGCUUUAAGCAAGGAUGAAAUGCAUUGUAAAACAGAUAAACGGAGCUAUCAAGUUUUUGCGUACACUCUACCUGUACUGUAAAUUGAAUUGGUGAAAUUUAGUAACGCUCCAAAGGAAGCAGCCGAGGAUUUUGUUGAUUGCUUUUCCUCGGCAAUUGGUUUUAAUAUCAUAUUCCAACUCUGUUGGGGGAGGUCUUGACUUUAGCCCGAUUGGCACUCUAUGUUAUGUAUAUAUCACAGCAUUUUCUACUGGGAACUUGUAGGUUUGUUUGUAAUUGAAAAUCUGUCGCGACUGUUUAUGUAUCAUUCAAUUCCAACUUUCAAUUGCAGCAGCAACUUGAUUCAUUACUUGUGUCGUUAUCGGUGUGUAUAAUUUUGUUACCAAGGAGAAAGAGCUCUCACUCAAUGUGUUUCCUGUUGUUUGAUGUGUGCUUUUCUUUGGUAUCAUAUAGGGAAGCAUACAUAGAAAGCUCAUCCAUAUUCAUUUUGUUUCAGUAGUAUAUGUUGUGUACCCUUAAUUUACCGAUUCUUUUUCCUGGAAUAUGAUACUUCAUUGAUAAAAGCAAAGAGAUUACACAAUAUCCAUCGUAGAAAUCCUGCAGCCUGUUUGGCAAUUCUAUGUGCUGCAUAAUUGCAUCUUCUAUUAAACAUUUCUCGCCAUUACAAAUAAGCUGAUUCAUGUGAUACAAAAGCUAGCAUCUCAGGCCAAUAUGCCCAAACAUCUGCAGAUCAUUACAAAUGACUUUCAGAACAACCCUGAUAAAAGGUUUAUAAGAGCACCAUAAGACCACUUGUUACAACUUACAAGAGAAGUGAUUUAGUAAAUUUAGUUUUUACACCAUAACUUUUACAUAUGAACUCGAUCCGAUUAAAACGUACAGCGUGUCCACAGACUCCGACAUCUCCAGGACGACUCCGACCCUGCACCCCGGAGUUCUAGCUAGGGUAUAAUAACAGCUGUUGGUUGGUUGGUUUCUGUGCUAUAAUUCAUAGAGCUCUGAUUCGACAUUUAAACUUAAUGGUUUACUAUUUCAAUCAGGAUUUCUAACCUAGUUCCCUAAGUUUAAUUUUCCUGGUUCUAAUUAGGAUAAGAGCCUAUAUAAGCCACUAUAUAUGUUGUAUUCAAUUCAGAAAACACAGAGAUUUAAUUAGCGUUAAUGGAACCACUAACAAGCUUCUCUGCUACUGCAGACGACCACGAGACAGAAAAGACAAUUGAUCCACUUAACAAGGACUUGGAGGAGAAUUUGUUUAUCUCGGAUCUAUUUGAAGAGUCUGCUGAAGACAGUUAUUCAUAUGAAGAUUCAGAUGAAGAUACAGAUGAAGAUGUAUACGAUUUGCCCAAUGUAGAUGAUAUGUUUUAUGAUUAUUAUUCGGUUGAAGAAGAAACUGAUGAUGAAGAAGAAACCCCUCGAAAGGAGCCAUCUGUUUGUCAGGUUUGUUUGAAGGAGAAGGCACACUGGACAGGGUUGUGUCCCUUUCUGGAUUGUAUCCCAAACCCUAGGGACACAACUCUUGGUAAAAAGUAUAUAAUAGUUUGCCAGUGUUGCGGUGAGGGUGGUGAGGAGGAUCCCCACCCUGGAGAAAACUGGGUAGGACUAGCAAUAAGGGAUCCUGCUAGUGUUAGAUAUUAAUCCCACACCUGAUUGCUGCCCGAUUAUAACUAGCUACUCUGGAAGUUUCAACACCCCUAAAAUUGAGACGUGUAGAAUAGUGAAAUUAGGAGAGUGCCUUUCUAUAAACUUUAUCCUUUGUUUGAGAUGAAACUAAUAUUAUGAUGCAUGUAGAUCUGUAGAUCGAUGGACUCGCUGUGCUUUUUCUUUCUUUUUUUGAUUAGGGACUAGGGAGUGUGUGCUUUUGUAAGAACUUUUAUUCGAUAUUUGUUUUAUGUAUAGAACUACUUUCGUGUUGAUUUUGCAGUGUAGAAAGAGAACCAAAUUUUGAUGAAGGAUUUUAGAGAUAGGGUAUUGAAGAUUUGGAGAAGGAAAGACCAAGUGCAUUUUGAUUUUGUUCUUUAAAUAAUGGAAAAAAAGAAGCCUGAAGUAGAAGAGUAAAUGCGAAUAUGCAAUUGCUAGCUUGCAAUUUUGGUCCCUGAUGAACUAUGAACAUGUCAGGGAUGUGCACCAGCAGAACCCAAAUAUUUGAUUAAAUUUGUUAGCCCCAGAUCAGGUGAAGAUGAAGAGGAACAACCUGUAUGUGAGAUUUGUUUGAAGGAUAAGGCACACAUUUCAUUUUUGUGCCCCUUCCUGGAUUGUAUCCCAAACCCUAAGGAGACAACUCUUGGUGAAAACUGGGUAAUAGUUUGCUAGUGUUGCGGUAGGCGGGAUCCCUUCCACGGAGGAAACUGUGUAGGAUGAGCAAUAGAGGAUCCUGCUAGUGUGCUUUAUGUUAGUCUCAAACCUGAUUGUCCGGAUAUAACUUGCUACGAGGAUCUUGAAACACCCCUAACAUUGAGACGUGCAUAAACAUGAAACUAGGAGAGUGCCUUUCUAAGAAUCGUUAUCCUUUGUAUAGAAUAUGAAUCUAAUUUUUUUUUUCUUUGCUCUGAAGGAGUCUUGGCUCUUCAUGUUCCUCUUUUCUUCUUGUCUUUUUGGGUUCAAUAAACCCCCUUCGGAAAAAAUAAAAAUAAAAACCUAACAUCCUUUCAGCAAAGGAAGGGGUGUUUACUUGCAUUAGAUUUUUUUUUCUCUUUUUUUUGGUUGCGACCAGAUAUACUUGCGUUAGAUUCAACAACACUGCAUGUGUAGCGUUGUAGCAUGAGCUUAUCAAGUUGGUAUUGGAUAAUCUUAAAAAAAAAUUGUGGUAAAAUAAACAGAUAUGUGUUUAUUACGUGUUCAACUUCAUACAAGAAUAAUUCUUUAAACUGAGAAAUUUAUGUCAUGUUCAAAAAAAAAAAAAUGAGAAAUUUAUGGAGAAAUACCAAUUUAGAUUUGCAUUUUCAGAUAAAUGAGUAUCAUACGUACAAAUUAGGAAUCUGCUAUAUGCAAGAUAAGCUCUGUGCCUCUCUCAAGAAGAAUAAUGACGUACUGACGGUGUGAUAAACAAGGAUCCUAACAGGCUGAGGGUACGUGAUGAACAAUGAGGACUGAUGAGGACUAGGAGUAAUCGAUCACAUUGUAUCGCCGGAUCGAUCUGCACUGCAUGAGUUUUCCGACGUCCUCUAAUUCGAGUUGGCCGCCUUAUUGACCUGCCGGAUGAUGAAACCCCCAUUCCUAGUUCAAUAUCAAGUUAUUUUGCUCAACUUAGCUAUUAGCAAAAGAGUAGCCAGGACUACUUUUACCAUCAUUUGUUGUUAAUCGAAGUCCUAAUCUUCCUUCCUUUCUUUCUUUUUUUGAGGAAACAAAUUGAGCAUAUGGGAUUGUGGGAGGUGAAGUGGAAAGUCGGAACAGAUUGCACAGGUGCGUUUCCGACGUACUCAAAGGAAAAAAGGAUAGAGAAUGAAAAAGAUUAAGGAACACAAAGACUGCGACUUGCGUGGCCGCUAUGUUUGCCGUUCGAGUGUUUGAAAAAGAGCUCGAACAUGCACACCAUAUAGUUGACACAUACAAAGUGUCUCCUCCACACGUCGAAAUACAAUCCCCCUCUAUAUUUUAAUCGCAUCUUUACUAUUAGAAAGCCGUGGCUUUGGUGAAGCAUUUUUUCAAAUUGCCCAAAAAACUAAGGUAGCAAAAAGAUCUCAAAGAAAUAAAAAUAAAAGUACUAUGGGCUUGAUUGUAAAACGUACACCACUGAAAUUCAAAUGAGAAUAAAAAGGUCGUAGUAAUUUUAUCUCAUUUUUGUUAGAGCACGCAGUUAUCUUAAGAAAAGAAAAAAAAAAGAUUAACUUUAUCUAACGGUAAGAUGGAGCAGUUCAAGUAUAUUUUUUUCAAUUUCUAAUCCCCGUACAGAUGCACACAGAUAAGAGGCUAGUCACCCAAAAAUUACCGUUGGUGAAAUCAAGAUGAAACCCUAGAAUUUACUCAUUGCGCGCAAUCUUCACCGUCAUACAUAGAGUUUAGAUACGUGGCAGGCUUGACUCGAUGACACGUCCUUUGUCGUCUUGUACAGGAGAGUCUACGACGUUGCAAGCUUCAUCACCAAUGGUGACGAGGCCCUCAUGAAGGUCGACUUCUUCUUUUUCUUCAAGGAAUCACAGAUUUUUUUUUUUUUUAAACAGUGGAUUAUUCUCGUAUUUUCUUUUAUCUUCGAGAAAAAUGUAGAAGAAAAAACCCACCAUUGUUGCACGUUGUUGGUUUCUACAUGCAGUAGUAACAAGAUCUCUGCCAGACAUUAAGUACAGGGCUGCACAUGUAAAGGAAGAAGAGAGAAUGGAUUCUGAUGCAAAAGGAUACAACUUUUAUAGCAAUUAUUAGCUGUAGCUAAUAAUAAAAAUGAUUCCCAUAUAGAUAUUGGGAAAAGAUCUGACGGCUUUUCUCAGAUAACCAAAAACUUAACCGCUAAGUUUCAUCUCUAUAAAAAAACCUCCAAAAAAACCAGACCCCAAACACUUCCACACAAAUCCAUGCCGCCACAAACUCACCAAGGAAGAACAGCCACAACAGGAACAAGACCCCACCAAGUAAAACAGAGCAAGAAGAAAACCAUGCGUAACGAUGAAGACGAUGAUCAAGGGGGAGGAGGGAUCACAUGCGGCGCUGUGACGGUGGAGCUGGAUCUGCAGGAUUUGCCGGAGGGAUGCAUAGCCAACGUCAUCUCUCUGACGACUCCUCCCGAUGCGUGCCGGCUGUCGUCGGUUUCCAGGAGUUUCCGGUCGGCCGCCGAGUCCGACGCCGUUUGGAGCAAGUUCCUGCCGCCGGACAUUCCCACUAACCUGUCUCACUCGGGGCCUGAUGCCCCCAAUUGCCGAUCCAAAUCCAAGGAGUUGUACCUCGCUCUCUGCCACGAUCCGGUGCUCAUCGACGAGGGCAAAAUGGUAAAUUCACUACACCGGGUUGCUACGGUGCCUUACUUUUUUAUGAACACUAAAACGUAACAUGUUUGGACUUGUGUUUGUGAUUGUGUUCGUGUUUGUACUAGCAUGAUACAUUGACAUGAAUUGUCGAAAUGAUUUGGUUUAUUCAUUGAUGUGGAUUGAAGGGUGUGUACCUUAGCAAAUUGAUAACAUAAUGGACAUUCUAUACAUUGUGAAUGUGCAUAUUUGUGCAGCCUUAGAUGUGACAAUAAUGGUGUACGAUGAUUAGAUUAGGUGGGGUCAAGAAUUCGAUUAUUGUUGAUGUAUAUAUUCUUGUGUGUCAUCAUUCAUCAAAUUGAAAUGAUCGAAUAGGGUUUCAGCUUGUUGCCAUUAGCUACAUAUGCUAUAUUUGAUAUGAUGGUGACUGUUCUUCACAUUGUGCAGAGCUUUUCACUAGACAAAUGGAGUGGGAAGAAGUGUUACAUGGUAGCUGCAAGAGCCCUUGAGAUUGUCUGGGCUGAUACUCCUAACUAUUGGAAAUGGAUUUCGAUGCCCGAUUCGAGGUCUGUAAAUUUAGUUUGUUCUUUUGUUUGAUUGUUAGUUAGUUGGUUGUUUUGAUUCGUACAAAUCUAACAUUGUUUUUGUAAUGUAAUCAAGCAAUAACAGGUUUGAAGAGGUUGCUGAGCUUGUUGGUGUUUGCUGGCUUGAUAUCCGUGGCAAAAUUGACAUACGCUUGCUGUCCCCCUCAACUAUGUACAAAGCUUACGUUGUGUUCAAGUCAACUGCAGCGGCUUAUGGGUUUGAGUAUCAACCUGCGGAGGUUAGCGUAGGUCUGGUUGGAGGAGCAGAACCCACAAAGCAGACUGUGUUUCUUGAUGCUGACAGAGGUCGGACUCAGAGCUACCAGAUUGUACCAAGGCGUGUUGGUAUUUCCAACAGAAGCCGCAUUUUGCCACGAGUGUCCCAGCCUAGGGAGAUCAAUGAUAAUCAAUACCCGAAGGACAGAGCAGACGGGUGGUUGGAGAUUGAGCUGGGUGAGUUCUUCUGUGAAGGAGGAGAAGAUGGGGAGUUGGAAAUGACUUGUUUGGAAACCAAGGGUGGUCAGUGGAAGGGUGGUCUUAUUGUUCAAGGCAUUGAGGUCAGGCCACAGAGGAAGUCCUAGCUAUAGUAGGAUUCAUCUGCUCGGAGGGUUUGAUUCUUUUUUUUUUUUUGGUGUUGAUAAUUCUGUAAGUUGAGAAAAGGAAAGAAAGGACUCCCUUUACAUUGUAAUUUGCUGCAAUUGAGAUUCAAUGAAUGAUGUGCAUCACUUUGUUGUGUGAAGAAUAAACGAUUAUAGUGUUGGUUUCUCGGAAUAUAGUAGUGCUUGUUCCUCAGUAUAUAAUAGUGUUUGGUUUCUACUUUCGACCGACCUCAUUUGUCAAGAAUCGAGUGUAACUGAACUUUUUAAGCUUGUAAGCUUAGAAGGUGGAAAUGGUAUAGUGUUGAUACUCAAUACCUAUUUCAAGUUUUGAUCCAUCUCAAUAUGUGCCAAAAGUAUGGCCCUGUGAAACCACUGUUCCACGUACUGUUUUCCGGAUUCGCUAUUUCUAACAAGCUCUAUGCUUCUAUCAGAUAGACUCUGAUUUUGGAAGUUUGAUUUGACAACUAUAAGGGUGUGAAUCAAAGUGCAAUCUUUAUUUUGGUUUGUGAGUCAAAGUGCAAUAGAUGUGAAUUCAAGGUGUGAUGACGCGAGUUGGAACGUAAUCAAGCCGGUAUGCAAAUUCAUUUAGUGUGGUGACGUGAGUCGGACUGCAAUCAAACCAAUAUAUAGAUUCAAUUGGUGUGAUGACGUGAGUCGAAAUGUAACUACACUCGUAUGUAAACUUAAUUGAUGUGAUGAAGUUUUAUAAAAAAACAAAUUAUAACGCUAAAGUAUCUUAUAAAAUGUAACGAAACUUAAGAUCUGAUAUCCCAAACUCAAAAAACAUAAGAGUUACAUAAGAAAAAUUAAAAAAUAAAAAACGAGAUAAUGUCUUUGACAUAUUAAAAUUCAUAUAUUUUUUUUAUCAAGGCUAAUAUUCACAUUCUCAUGAUCACUUUUUUUUUUAUUGUAUAUUUUUUUCGAAUAUCGAGUAAUAGAGUCACUGAGUAAAACCUAAAACUAUCAACAAGAAAUAAGAUAAAAGGUUAAAAAAGAAAAGAAAGACAAAAGGUUUUGUUAGGUUUGGGACUUUGGGUUAUCUUCUCGAAUUGCAGGACUCCAAGAACAGACAAAGAAGAAGAAGAAGACCUGAACAAGGCGAACAUCAUCGUCAUCAGAACAAGAAGAAGCAGAAACCCACUUAAUCUCACACACCAGGUACUUCGUGUCUCCUCUCUCUCUCGCUCUCGCUCUCCCUCUGUCUCGCUCUCUUCAUCUUUACUUUAGUUUUGUCUCCACCAAAAUGUGAAACACUAAGUUGAAUGAAAAUCAAAGCACAAAACUUGUUGAUUUUUCUUUUGAUGCUAAUCUCAAAGGAAUCGUCUUUUCAAUUGAAAAAUGAGAAAACCCCAUUAAAGUCCUGAUUUUUAUGCUCUCUGGAGGCGUUGGGAUCUCUGGGUUUACUCUCUCAGAUCCGUUCUGAGAAACCCAAUUGUUGGUUCAAUGCAAAAUGUCAGAUGCUGUGGUUUGAAAUUCUUGGGUUUUUGAGGUUCCGGGUUUGGGAGUUGAGGUUGGGAAUCGUUAUGGAGCAUUGGGUUCUGGGUGAAUUUAGUUCACCGACUCAAAUGGUCAUGUUUAGUUUUCUGUGAGCUUUGGCUGUUUCGCAGUCGAGUCUGGUCUUAGUUCUAGCGCCAUUUGACCUACAUUGUGUUUGAUUUGUGAUCAAUGAGAAGUGAUUACUGUUUGAGUACCUAGAAGACAUGUUUAAGUCAUAUUCUUCGGCAUCUGGUUAGUCUGCCUAGGAUGAUGGGUGAGUAACUGCAUUGUGACUUAGGAAUUUGACGCUGCUGUUUGAGGAAGGAAUAAGGUCAUUGUGUCUUAACUCUGCCUUUUAUGCAGUCAAGUCUGGUCUUAGUUCUAGUGCCAUUUGAUCUACAUUUUAUGUGUUCAGUGGGCAAUAGAUUAAAAGUGAUAGCGCUUGGAGUUCCUAGAAGACUGUCUUAAAGUCAAAUUGUUCGACUUCUGCAAAAUCUUUCGAUAUUAGGAUGAUGGGUGAGCAGUUGCAUUGUUUGCCGUAUAUAUGGCUGAGGAGUGAGGUGUUUUGUAUCUUAGAAAUGUUAAAGUUUAUCAAGUGUUAUAAGUGAAGUCAAGGAGUGAGUUGUUCUUCUAUCCUGAAACUAUUGAUUUUUCGCUUAAAAGUCCAUGUAAACUGCUGAUUGGGUUUUUUCUUUGGUGUUACAGGUGAGGUUAAUCCUCAGAAGAUAUCAUUCAUUCAUCAUCUAAGGAAGAGUAUACACUGUGAAUCGCAAAUGUUAAUUGAAUCAACAGAAGUACCCUUCCCCUGUAGCUAGUUAUUAGAUAGUACUGGUAUGGUUUUUUGAAUGUUCUCCUUUUUCUUCUUUUCUCUUUUUUUGUUAUUCAUGUGCGCAUCAUCAUAUGCAUGUGUACACAUAGAAAUACUAUUCCCUUGUUGUUCUAUCUUCUCAUUGCUGUAUCUCUUUCUAACAGGAGGUGUCAUGUCGUGCAGUGUUUACAACACAACCCUGGAUACAAGUUUUAAUGUGUGUCAGGAUGAGGGGUUAGAAUCCUGUGAUACUUCUGCUCUUUCUGCUGAUAUCUACAUGGAAGAUCAUGCUUUAGUUCCUGUGCCCGAUGAUUCUCUCACCUUGACGGAAUGUGCAUUAGCUAUUGGGCAAGAAUUUCCUGAUGUUGAAACUUGCCGAAGAGCAUUGAAGGAUGUUGCUAUUGCAAUGCAUUUUGAUCUUCGUAUCGUCAAAUCAGAUCGAAGCCGGUUUAUAGCCAAGUGCUCCAAAGAAGGCUGUCCAUGGCGUGUCCAUGUAGCAAAAUGUCCUGGAGUUCCCACCUUUACAAUAAGAACCUUGCAGGGUGAGCAUACAUGUGAAGGAGUCCGCCACCUUCAUCAUCAGCAAGCAUCAGUAGGUUGGGUUGCUAGGUCCGUGGAAGCUCGAGUUCGGGAUAAUCCACGGUAUAAACCAAAAGAGAUCCUGCAAGAUAUCCGUGAUCAGCAUGGGGUUGCUGUUUCUUACAUGCAAGCAUGGCGUGGCAAGGAGCGUAGCAUGGCAGCACUUCAUGGAACUCUUGAAGAAGGGUAUCGCCUUCUUCCUGCAUACUGUGACCAAAUAAGGAAACACAAUCCAGGAAGCAUUGCUUCAGUUUUUACCACUGGACAAGACAAUUGCUUCCAGCGGCUCUUUGUUUCCUACCGUGCAUCAAUUUAUGGGUUUAUACAUGCUUGUCGACCACUUUUAGAACUUGACAAAGCACAUCUUAAGGGCAAAUACCUGGGUACAUUGCUCUGUGCUGCAUCUGUUGAUGCUGAUGAUGCAUUAUUUCCACUGGCAAUAGCUAUUGUUGAUGUUGAAAGUGAUGAGAAUUGGAUGUGGUUUAUGUCGGAGUUACGGAAGCUUCUUGGAGUAAACACUGACAACAUGCCUAGACUUACUAUACUCUCUGAAAGACAAAGGGGCAUUGUGGAAGCCGUGGAAACUCAUUUCCCAAAUGCCUUUCAUGGUUUUUGUCUGCGCUAUGUAAGCGAAAAUUUUCGUGAUACAUUUAAGAACACAAAGUUGGUGAAUAUCUUCUGGAAUGCUGUUUAUGCUCUCACUGCAGUUGAAUUUGAGAGCAAGAUUGCAGAGAUGAUGGAUAUCUCGCAAGACGUAAUACCAUGGUUUCAACACUUCCCUCCUCAGCUUUGGGCUGUAGCAUACUUUGAAGGUGUGCGAUAUGGUCAUUUUACCCUCGGGGUUACAGAGCUGCUGUAUAAUUGGGCCCUUGAAUGCCAUGAGCUCCCUAUUGUGCAAAUGAUGGAGCAUAUUCGUCAUCAGUUGUCAUCGUGGUUUAAUGAGCGCAGGGAAAUGGGCAUGAGGUUGACAUCAAUUCUAGUACCUUCUGCUGAGAAGCGUGUUCUAGAGGCAGUUGCUGAUGCUCGCUGCUAUCAAGUGCUUCGCGCAAAUGAAGUUGAAUUUGAAAUUGUAUCUACUGAACGGACAAAUAUUGUGGAUAUAAGAACUCGAGUGUGCUCCUGUCGUCGUUGGCAUAUAUAUGGUUUACCUUGUGCACAUGCUGCUGCUGCACUUAUUUCCUGUGGACACACUGUCGCUUUAUUUGCUGAGCCUUGCUUCACAGUAGCAAGUUACAGAGAUACCUAUUUACAGAUGAUUCAUCCUAUUCCAGAUAAGAGCUUAUGGAAUGAACCCACUGAAGGGACAGAGGGUGGGAGUGCAAAAGUUGAUAUCAUGAUUCGUCCGCCCAAGACCAGGCGUCCCCCUGGCAGACCGAAAAAGAAGAUCCUUCGUGUAGAGAACUUCAAGCGUCCAAAGAGAGUUGUUCAAUGUGGUCGGUGCCAUAUGUUAGGACAUUCUCAAAAGAAAUGCACCUUGCCAAUAUGACCUUAAUUAGCUCGUUAGAUCUCCUUUUAUUUUUUAGCCUCCGUUGUUUCUGACUCACUUUCCUAUCAUUGCUCUAAGAUGCAAUAGAGUCAGUUGGAUGUUUGUAAUAUUAAUGUAUGUUUUAAUUUAGUAGUUUCUCUAAAUGGGAAAUAAGGAUUCAGUCCUUUCGGCACAGUUCUGUCUAUAUGCCAUGUGCACGUAGUGGCAGCAUCUUUGUGUUUUCUGGCUUUUUAACCUAAGCAUAAGGUGUUAUAUGUGUAUCUGAAGUGCUAUAUGAUUUUGUUAUAUGAUCUAUAAUGUGUAUCUCUUGUUAGAUCAUUUCCCUUAUUAUUGUCCAUUUGUCCCCAGGCCUCUCUUGGUUUUGUCAGUCAAUGGAGAUAUCCUUUGGUGCAUCUAUAUCGAUAUCUGCUGGUGUUUCCAAAAUUAAGGUAAGUAUUAAGAAACUGUUGCACUUUGUGACAUUAUUGGAUGAUUCAUGAUUCAGAAUGCGACUCAGAUGCUCAAUCAACUGAUGCAAGACUGUUUGUUCAGUUUUGCUAAUAUUACAUCACAAUAGAUGGUGCUUUUGUGGAGGAUUGUACUCCUGUGAGUUCUUGUUUCCUAACAUUCUUUCACUGUUGUCAUCCAAGUAGUUUUCUUGUACAUUGCUAUUUGCUUCAUCACAACAGUUCUAAAUACUACAAUAUGUUUCGAGUACCCUACCCUAUCGGUUCAGCUUCCUGUACCAAUUCAUAAAUUAAUUCUUUUCACUAUUGAGUUGUAUUUCUUACAACUCAAUAUCAAUCCAGUUAACAAAAGAUGGUGUUUCAAUUGGGGAUUCUGGGUUGUUAAAAUAUCAUUAUAUUCAGUUGCCAUGAAUGCAUUAGUGUACAGGCACGAAACAAAAAGAAAGGAUAAAGGAAAUCUGGGAAACAAAGAGAAGACAAAAACCAACUAGGUUAACUGACUAGUCUCAAAUCUCAAUCAAAACAUUUCAAUUGCUCAUAGUUUUACACCAAAAAAGCUCUAAAGUUUGUCUCCCUUUGCCAUUCAUUUUUUUUUUCGAAAAUUCUUCUACGCACCGAGGAGCAAGUGAACCGAUAAACUAAUAUGCAAUAUUUUGAUCCGGUUAUCCAUGUCACAUCAAAGGUACUCUUAUUAUGGACGCUUAAUUUGAUCGGAUCAAAAAUAAAAAUGAAAGAAAUGAAUAUAAGGUCUCUAGUCUUCAUUAGAUCUUCGUAUAUAUAUCGAUUUGAGGACUUACAUAUUAAUAAUGCAAGUGUAUUUUAUUGUGUAAAAUCCGCUCUAUUGUAUUUUUCCAUAUUUCUAACUACGUAGACACUUCCUCCGCGGGGCGCGGUCUUAAACGACGUCGUGUUGCAUAACCGAUUAAAUACAUUGGAGCCCUAAAAUCGGCCGUCUUUACCAAAUUCCCAAAAUCAAAAACGGAAGCUUUUCAGAUUUUCCGAUGACGAAGAAGAAGACUCGAGACUUGCCGAACCUGACAGAGUGCCAUUGCUGCCACCUCAGAGUCGACCUCGCCAAAUCCAAAUCCAACAAGCUCCACCUUCUCUACAGCGAGUGGCGGAUCGUCCUACUCUGCAAGAAAUGCCUCUCGCGCGUGGAAUCCACCGAGCUCUGCUCCUACUGCUUCCGCCACUCCUCCUCCGGCGACUGCUUCUCCUGCCGCCAGUGCAAGCGCCGCGUCCAUCGGGAUUGCGAUUCCGAGUACCGGAGCUCCGCGGUGUGGUCCGGCUCGUCGUCGGUGGCCGCCGCCGAGGAGGUCUCCGUCUGCGGCGAUUGCUGGGUUUCGGAGUCGCUGGCGAGGUGGAGGAGGAGCAGGAACAGUAGCGGCGGCGCUGGGAGGAAGAAUCGGGCGGAUUUGGGGGUUGGGAGAGCUAGGGUUUCUGAUGAUGAGAGGAAAUGUGAUUCGGAUUCGGUUGUGGUGUGUGAUUAUUCAUCUACAGAGGAGGUGAGGUGUUUGCGGCUCGAUGCUGUUGAAGAAGAGGAAGAAGAAGAAGAAGAAGAAGAAGCAGAGGAGAAUGUGGAUGAUGAUGAUGGGCAGUUGAAGGAAGGACAGGGGAGCUGCUCGAAUGGCGUUGAAUCGGAGUCGCCGCUGUGUUCUAAAGUGGACUGCAAUUGUGUCGCAAGGGCGAAAGGCGAAAAUGGCGAUGCCAAGCUUGAUCCGUACUAUUUCAAGUACAGGAGGAGGCGCAUUGAUCACGAGGUGUUGACAUACAAGAGGAGAAGCAUGUGUAAGAGUUUGAGAAAUUUUGAGUGCCCUCUGUUGACGUAUAAGAGGAGAGGAAGUGUUGAUGCUCGGUUUAUGUUUACGUAUAAGAGGAGGAGGAACUUUGAUCAAUCUAUGUUGACGUAUAGCAGGAGGAGACCGGAGAUCCUUUACGCAAGUUCAAAGAUACAGCUUGAGGGUCAGUGCUGAAUCCUGAGAGUUCAGAGGUAGGAUAGAACCUCUUCCUUUGCUGAAUUUUGCGCUUUUUUAUGAUAGUCAUAUGCUUCCAAUUGGCUUGUUCUUGAAUGCUUAGUGACACUGCUAGAUGAAUAUCACAAUCCAUAUACCAUCUUGUGUUUCCAGGCCAGAGUUCAAUGUGAUUAUCUUUCCUGCAUUUUGGUUCGUAAUGAUGAAUAUAACAAUGGCUUGCAUUACAAGUUUAAAGAUAAGCUAUUCCAUUGUGGUGAUAUGUCAACACAAAAUGCAUGCUAGGUGAAGGAAAAGUUUAGUUCCAUAGCUGGAAGAAACAAUCUCUUGUCAGUAGUGGGGAAACUAUUCGUAGUUAAAUCUAAGAUUUCUAGACUAGGUUUGCAACCUUUUGUCCCAGUUACGCAAAGGAAUUAGUUGGACAGUGUAAAACGAGAAGGAGUACCAUUAAUCGCUAUAAGUUAAUAUAUCAGAGCACAAGCACCAAUGCUCUCACAAUGUUAGUUUAUAGGAGUAGGAGAACCAAAAUUAUCCAUUCUUGCCGAAUAACUAGCCUUGAGGGUCUCUCCUGAUUUGUGAUAGUUCUUUUGUUUUGGAUUUUACAUUUCAUAUUCUUGAAUGCUUAGUGACACUGUAUGAUUCAUUGAUACUUCAUGUAGUUGUAGUUUCAUAUAUCAUGUCGUGUGCUCAGAUAAGAACUUGCAAUGUUUUUUUGUUUGUUUUUAUUUGGGUUGUAAUGGUUAUGAUCAAAUUUCUCAAGAUUGAGAAGUUAACAAUAGGUAUAAUAUCAAUAUUGAUACAUGCCUGCUGUUCCACUAGAAUACUACAAUCUUUAUUAAAUAGUAGGGAUAGUAACUUCAAUUAAAGAUAAAAUUCUAGACUACGUUAAAGAUCUUCUCUUGGCAUGAUUCCAAAUGUAUUGGUUGGACUGUAGAAAAUGCAACACUCUUAUUAAGUUCAGAUAGGAUUUUUCAUUUUUUCCCUGCAAUUGUUGGACAUUUUAGUAAUCAGACUUUGCAUUGGACAUUAGAAGGUAGUCUGAGUAAAGGACUAUGCGUUCCUUCAUAUGAUUAUGAUCCAAUGACAAGCAGUGAACCGAAGCAAGGAAACAGGGGACUCGCCAAAUCUCUCAAAGUCUGGCUUGCCAAAGCCAAGAACAAGCUGCACUCUGCGAGUGGUUCAGCAUCAUUUUCUGCAGAAAUGCGUGGCUCAUGUUGAGUUCAUGGAGCCAUGCUCCUACUGCUUCAUGGAGCUAUGCUCCUACUGCCAUGGAAGUUUCUGUUUGCACCGAUUACUGGGUUCCUUUAUCCCUGACCGGGUGGAGAGGGGUUGUUAGAAGUAGGAGCAAUAGUAACAGGUUUGAUUAGGAACUGAGGAAGUUUAGGGUAUUGGCAGUGGAAAUCAAAAAGCAUAAUGCCUCAAUCUAUCAUCUCAAGCACAGGAGAAGGAGCACUGUCCAUCACUGUCAACAUACAAGAUGAGGCGUAGUAUUCGUCGCUGUUAGAGUUUGAGCACCAGUGUUGAUUGCCAUAUGUUGACAUGCUGUUCUUUGUUAACAUAUAAGAGAAGUCUGAAGAUCCUCUACUCUUGUUCAAGAUUAAGAUUGACCGAAGGUAGCAGCAUCUCUAACUUUGAUGAAAUGUUAUUUGGAGAUGGAGACUGACUUGAUCCUCAUCCCCUCCCAAACAGUGAGAUUGAUCUUCAGCCUCUUGGGAUUCCCCUAUUAUUUAUGAAUGCAUUAAAUCGUAGUUAAUAUAUUCAAUGGAAAUUAAAUUUCAUCGGCCUCAAAAGAAACCUUGGAAGACUGAAAGUUGAAAAUACAUUGCAGUUGAUUGCAGAUCUCAUCUUCCCACACGUAUUCGUUAUCAUUGUGAUUAGUCUAGUAUAUAAAUCCACAUUCCACCACACAACUCCAACAUUCCACCACACAACUCAACAUCAGAGAGUAGCAGGAGAAUGAGUGCUACUGACCCAAAAGAAGAAGCGAGAACGGACGAUGAAGUCUAUCACAUUCCCACACUGGCACAGGAAAUUUCUCCUCCGAAAGAAGAUCCUACUAUUCUUCUCCGAGUGCAGAGUCAACAACAUCCUCACAUUUCCUACAUGACCAGUCCUAGUAUGCUUCUCACUCAUGUUUUACGAGAUUACUGUAGACGCACAGGUCUGAUCUUCGAAACAGUACGCUUUCCAGCCCGGUGCAGGAGAGUGAUACUCCGGAACGUUUUGCGAUGGAGGAUGGCGAUGCCGUCUACGCGUUUAUUGAUCAACUGGGUGGUGGACUGGUGGCAAUGUAUGUUCUUGAUUUGGAGGAAUAAGUAACUUUGCAACCUGUUAUCAUUUGUUCAAGCUGCAGACUAGCCUAGCAGUACUUCUCUUUGUUAUCCUUAUUUUAUAUAUGGAACAAAAACCAGCUCUCUGAAUCUCUGAUCCAUCGUGCAUGCAUGUUUGAUUGUUCUUUGGAAAUGGCAUAACUAUUUUGGUUCAGAAUCAAUAUUAGGGGAAUAUCUGUUUCUAGCUUGAUCUCCACCUAUAAUUUUGUUUCCUUUUCUAAUUUUCUCUGUAUGGUAGUAUAUCAAGAAUAGUGGAUAAAAUACAUAUAUUUAGGGUUUUGAUUGACUGUUUGAAAUGGCAGCUGUAACCGAAAUAAAUUAUUUUAGGAGCAAAUCAAGUAUCACUACACUGUGUGAACGCAAAAAGAGAAAAAUAAUCUUGGAAAAGAUUUGAUGGGGAAUGACUUAAUCAUGGAUUAAUACUUGAUUACAGCAGAAUUUGAUUUUUUUUGGUAUGUCAUAGGGGGCUGUCAAAUGGAUCAGGUUCCAAUUGCUAGAUCAUCAAAUUUCAAAUUUCCAAUUUUAACUCGAUCAUGGUCAAAUUCUGCAAUCUGUGGCUAUUUCCUUGAAGGUGAGUCCACAUUUUUCUGUAAGUUCUUUGUUGCAUCUCCAUUGCUUUGCUAUGUUUAUGUAUAUAUAUACACCUCGGGCUAUAUACCUCAUUAUCCUACUUCUUCUGUAAUUUGAUUUGUUUCUCAGACUAACGAGUUCUUGUGAUCUAGUGUGUUUGUAACUAGAUAAUGGGUUUAGGCUCCUGUGGUCUUUAUGUCUCUUUUGGAAAGAAAAAGGACAUAGCAGGUCCUGAUGAGCAUAUGAGUCCCGAUCCUCAGGAAAAUGUUUCUGAUGAGUUUCAGUCUUGUCCUUCUUAUUCAAAUACUAUUAGGUGGUGUUCUAAAUCCCCAAGUGACGGAAAUCUGGUCACUGUGGAGUUUGGUCACAGAAGAAGUUUAUCACAAGGGGGGAACAUACAUAAACCCCCUCGAAAUAUUUUGAUCCCAGGGAGGUCAUCUGGUGCAACCGAAGCUGUAAACCUGGCAAGUCUAGCUGACAGAGAUUCGGUCACCAAGUACAAGUUUUGUCACCAGAGAAGUUUUUCACAAGGUAACUGUUAUGAAACCCCUGGAAAUAAUUUAGUCCCGAACAGGUCAUCUGAUGCAAAUCAAGCUGUGAAGCAUGGUUUAAGUUCUAGCGCAGGUCAUUAUUAUGGCCAUGGAAACAUCAUUAAGGGGUUUAAUAGCAUAACACAACUUCAAAGCCCUGGAAGUGUGGAAGAGAUCAACAAUAUGGCCAAUUUGAAAUAUAGAAAGGGAUACUUUAAGGAGGCAGUACCCUUGUAUGAUAAGGCCAUUGCGUUGUGCCCUCAGAAUGCUAUUUACCAUACCAAUAAGGCUGCAGCAUUGAUCAGCCUUGGUAGAUUCACUGAAUCUGUGGAAGAGUGCCUAAAGGCAAUCAAAUGUGAUCCAUCAUGCUCUCGUGCCCAUUAUAGGCUUGGAACUCUUUUUACUAGGUAUUCUUUAUGACUGUAAAUUUUUGAAAUUAAUUUCCUUACUUCUUAUCAUAGAUUUGUUAUAAGAUUUGGCCUUUUAUGCAGGUUUGGUCAAGUUGAUGAUGCAAGAUGGCAUUUCAUGUUAUCUGAUAAGAAUAUUGGCUCAGAAACUAUGCAGCGUCUAUCACGUAUUGAAGCUCAUUAUGUAAAUACUAACAAGGCCAGGAAGGUUAAAGACUGGGGUGGCGUUUUGAGAGAAAGCACUUUAUGUAUUGAAGCUGGAGUAGAUGCAUCAAACCAGGUGAUUUGAAAAUACUCAAGUUUUUUUUUGGAUUGAAACAUGUAACUUGGUUUAUAUUUACUUGUAUGAUUAUUCUAUGCUUUCUUGUGGCAGUUGGUUGCUUUAAAAGCUGAGGCUCUAUUUAAGCUUCAAAGGGUAGAGGAAGCUUUUGAACUAGUAAAUGCUGCAAGUCAUUCGGAAGAAAGUAGAGUCACAAAACCUCGCAAGGGUACAGCAUGCUUGCUGAUCAUUGAAACCAAGCUCCAUUUGUAUCUCGGAAGGUAUGCAAUUGCAUUUUCUUCAUUAGAUUAAGGUUCUUAUUUAGUCCUAAUAUAAGACUCUAAAUUUUAGAUUGUCACAUAAUAUAUGGCCAAUUACAUCCCACCCCUGUUCUGGGGUUAUUUUCAGUUUACCCUUUUUCCUUCUCCUUUAAAGACAUUGCAUUCUUAUCAGACCUCUGUCACUUUGAUCACUUAAACAUUUUCAUUACACUCUUGUAACCCGAGCUUCUUGAAUUAAUAGCCUAUUAAAUUGACUUAGUAUGAAGUUGUUGUUCACUACUGUAACAGUAGUAUGUUCUGAAAAUGUUGAAAAACUAGGAUGUUAUGACAUGAAAGUAAUCUUGAGAAAAGCAAUCACUGUUGAAGUAAAAUGAAAUUAGCCCUAAAGAUUGUGAUAGAAGCUAGAAAUACAGAAAAUGCUGAGCAACCUAAUUCAAAUACAUAAUGUGCUAAUUCACGAAUCUUAAUCAUUCAAAAGCACCGAAAAUGAAUUUAUCAAAUGUUUCCUGAUUAGUUGCUUUAUGUAUGUAGGAUAUUCUACUUGGUUAUGUCAUCUCAUCCCUAGAAAUUACAAUGUCGCUAAAGUUUUAAUUGUGUAUCAGAUUUGAGAAGGGAGUUAAGUCUGCAGAAAAAGCUGUGGACAUGGAUUCAACCGGGAAGUCUCUAAAGUGGCUGAAGAAAGCUAGGGGUGCUGCAGAAGCCAGGAAAUGUGGAAAUGACUACUACAAGGAUAAAAAAUACUUGGAGGCAUGCACAAUGUUUGGCCAGGGUCUGCAGUAUGUUCCUACAAACAAUGUCUUACUUUGUGAUCGAGCUGCUUGCAGGUCUAAGCUUGGACAGUGGAAAAUGGCCAUUGACGAUUGCAAUGCAGCUUUAAGAGAACGACCUAAUUUCCACAAAGCUCUUCUAUGGCGUGCUCACUCUUAUGCUAGGGUAUGGUCCUUAUAAAGCACACAUUUCCUCUUUUCUUUAGGUUUCUUUUUGCUUGAUCAAUUAAUUAACACGCCACCACGUUUUACACUUUUACUGGACCAGCUUAGGAGAUGGAAGGAUUCUUUAAAGGACUAUUCUGCCUUGAGCAAGGAGUUUCCAGGAGAUGAAUUUAUUGCCAGCUCUCUUGAUCAAGUAAAAAAGGAAUUGAAGGCUCGAGCUCAUGGUAGAUUCUCAAGCCUUGAGCCAAUAAUGGAAACAUAUAUCUAUUAGUCAAAAUUUCCAGCUUAUUGUUCCGUUCUUAAGCUUGAGCAUUUGCAAAACAUAGAUUAGGAUAUAACUUUAUAGAUCAGUUCAUCGAUGGGGAGUACCACUUCGAUAUUGUUUGGAGUACUACAAAAUUGGCCAACGGCCAUGUCUGAAUUGAAAAACUGCCCAAGGUGGUUAGUGUUCGUCUUUUGUGUUCAACUCUUUGAUACUUCAGUGCCUACUACUUCAGGAAUUGCUGGAAUAUCCAAAAUCCUUGUACCAAAAUAUUCCUUUGUUUGAACUAUUCAUUCUCUAGGAUCAAUGCACAUAAUAGAAAGAUGAUGUUAGUAAUAUAGCAUUUGGCUCAUAGCUCUUGUUUUGACACUCAUUUGACAGCUCAUCGAUUUUGCAUGGAACAUUUUUAAUGAAUUACUUGGUCUUGUUUAUGAUCAAGUAUUGCCUUUCAUCUCAAUUAAGUACUUGGCUUAAGUAAUCAAUCAUUUAGUUAACAGUGACUGACUUGCUAGCUAGCUAUAAUAUUGCCAAUUGUCUUUCUUGUUUUGGCCAAGUUGAUGAUAUCAAUGUUUACACUGAUGCCGGCCUCUGUUCGUGGCUUCUUAUAUGUUUUAAAAAUCUACAAAUACUGUUAUUCAUCGUCAUUUCCUUAAUAAGGUCACUAACAUUCAGAUGUUUAUAUAGCAGAAGAUAGAAGCCUAUCAUGAAACCCAAGUAAAGCUCUGGUUGCUAAUUAAAGAAGCAAUGAGGACUAACAAUGGGGUUCCACUUCCUUGCAUUUUCUCUAUUCUUGCAUGUUGUCUGUUAACUCUCCAUGUCAACAUGGCUUUGGCAGAGAGAUCCACUUAUAUUGUCCACAUGGAUAAGUCUCUGAUGCCCAAAUCCUUCACUAGCCAUCAUCAUUGGUACUCCUCCAUUGUUGAUUCCUUCAAAACUGAUCUUCACACCUCGUCAGAUCCCCACAGACUCACGCCAUCCCUUCUGUACACCUAUGAUAAUGCCUUUCAUGGUUUCUCAGCAGUUCUGUCCACAGAUGAAUUGGAGACUUUAGGAAAGUCUCCAGCUUUUGUUUCGGCUUACAAGGACAAAACUGUCACAGUUGACACAACCCAUACCACUACAUUCCUCUCCCUCAACCCUUCCACUGGUUUGUUACCUGCUUCGAAUUAUGGUGAAGACAUCAUUGUUGGUGUCAUUGAUACUGGGAUCUGGCCGGAGAGCGAUAGCUUCAGAGAUGAUGGUCUGACCAAGAACAUUCCAGCUAAGUGGAAAGGCAAAUGUGAGGUUGGACAAGAGUUCAAUACCUCUCUGUGUAACAACAAAUUGAUAGGAGCAAGAUACUUUAACAAGGGUGUAAGGGCUGCAAAUCCUGGUGUCACACUUAGCAUGAACUCUGCUAGAGACACUCAAGGCCAUGGGACUCAUACAUCAUCAACAGCUGCAGGGAACUUUGUUGAUGGGGCAUCAUAUUUUGGUUAUGCUAAAGGAACAGCUAGAGGUGUAGCACCGCGUUCCAGGGUUGCCAUGUACAAGGUCCUUUGGGACGAGGGUAGAUAUGCCUCUGAUGUUCUAGCAGGCAUGGACCAAGCCAUUGAUGAUGGUGUGGAUGUUAUCUCAAUCUCCCUAGGCUUUGAUGCCACGCCAUUGUACGAGGAUCCUGUGGCAAUAGCAUCCUUUGCAGCCAUGGAGAGGAAUGUGGUGGUCUCAUCUUCAGCCGGAAAUGAAGGAACAUCAGGCCUUGGGAUGCUGCACAAUGGCAUCCCUUGGGCCGUAACUGUUGCAUCAGGCACCAUAGACCGCUCAUUUGGUGGAUCAUUAAGUCUUGGUAAUGGUUUAACCAUUCCUGGAUUUACCUUGUUCCCGGCAAAUGCCCUUAUAGAAAAGCUUCCACUGGUUUACAACAAGACGUUAUCGUCUUGCAACGACACAGAACUAUUGUAUGCUGGCCCCAGUGCAGUCCUCAUAUGUGAUGACAUUUCAGAUAUCAGUGGUCAAAUGUCUCAUCUUGUUGCUGCAGAGGUGCUUGGAGCUAUUUUUAUUACAAACGAUCCUACGAUUAUUGAGUUAGGAAGUGUUAGAACUCCUAGUGUUGUGGUAAGUCCAGAUGAUGCACCAGCUCUUAUCAAAUAUGCAAAAAGAGAAGACGCUACUGUCAGCAUAACUUUCCAACAAACAUUUGUUGGGACAAAGCCUGCACCAGCUGCUGCAUUUUACACUUCAAGAGGUCCUUCAUCAAGUUAUCCGGGUAUCUUGAAGCCGGACAUAAUGGCACCGGGGUCAUUAGUUUUGGCUGCUUGGCCUCCGAAUGUAGCAGCUGGCAUUAUUGGUGGAAAUGUGCUGUUACCAAGUGACUUUAAUAUGAUAUCCGGAACAUCCAUGGCUUGCCCUCAUGCUUCAGGCGUCGUUGCUCUAUUGAAAGGUGCACACCCGGAAUGGAGUGCAGCUGCCAUUAGGUCUGCUUUGGUCACCACAGCAAAUCCAUUAGACAACACUAGGAAUCCGAUUCGUGACAAUGGUGACAAUUUCAACUUUGCUUCACCUCUAGCUAUGGGAGCAGGCCAGAUUGAUCCUAAUAGAGCACUUGAACCCGGUUUGAUAUAUGAUGCAACCAUACAAGACUAUGUCAACCUCUUGUGCUCCACCAACUUUACCCGGAAGCAAAUCUUAGCCAUUACUAGAUCACAUGAGUACGAUUGUUCCAAGGCGUCUUCUGAUCUGAACUAUCCAUCCUUCAUCGCUUUGUAUGGUCAACAUCAUGCAAAGAAAUUAAGGGUUCAAAAGUUUCAGAGGACAGUAACAAAUGUGGGAGAUGGUGCCGCUAAGUACAAGGUUUUUGUAACAGCUCCAAACGGUUCUACGGUAAUAGUGUCACCAGAGAUAUUGAACUUUGCAAAUAUAUACGAAAAGCAAAGUUACACUGUUACUAUAAAGUACAAGGGGGACAAACAGAAGAAGGUUUCUUUUGGUGAACUUGUUUGGGUUGAAGAAAAUGGAAAAUACAAAGUGAGGAGCCCCAUUGUAGUGUCACCUGAUCUUGUUUGAGUUUAAGGUAAUAAACGUCUUGUAAACCUUGACAAUGGAAUAUUUCAAAUAAGAGAAAUCUAAACAGUAUAUGUGGAGCUAGAAAAGAGAGUUUAAUUUAUGCAAAUUAAAAUUUUAUGGAGCUCCUUGACAUAUGCAUAGUUUUUGCAGAUGUUUCAAGACAUACCAAUUCUGGAGCAUAUUUCUCACCAUCCUGCAGUAAACAAAUUCAAAGGUUGAAUUCCUUCAAUAACUGUAUCAAUUUAUCAAACAUAAUACCCAUCUUCAAAACACUCCACGUUUCAACAAAUAUAUUUGCACAUUAUGCCUUUACAUCUUAAACCCUAAACCCUAAACCCUUUUACAUCUUAUGCCUUCUGAGUUCUGACUAUACUUGCAUGAGAGAAAAUGAACAUCGAUAGGAUGGUGAAGACAGAAGAGCGAAACAUCAAGGUAAACCAAUUUUUCAGUUUGGCUUGUACAAACGAAUCCUGCAGCUAAAACCAUCAUAAACAGAACCAGUUUGACAUAUAACAAAUUAAGCGAAAUGUUCAUGAAUCAUUUGACAGAUAACAAAUUUAGCUCAAGUGCCAGGACAUUCUACUUUAUUUUAAGCUUUAACAUUAAGGAAACUCGCAUAUGUACUUCAAGAAGAUUGAAAUGUGAAAAACUAUCUGUCAUUCAGGUAUAAACAGUCCACAAAUUACUAAGCAGAGGGUUUUAAUUGCCUUAGUAACUGGGUAGAAGCAUUACCUGCAAUGAUAAAAUCAGUGAGCAAAUAAAAUAAGGUUGCUGCGAGAUCUAGUUAUUAGUUUGCAGUAUAAUCCAAGAAGAAAGUCGAUAGUUCAAUUCAUUACUAUUUGUUUUAGAAAAUAGGUAUUGACUAUAUCAUGAUGGGACCAAACUAUAUAGUCUAAUUUUCUUGUUUACUACGUUUAUGAUACUAAAUACAUAGAUGCCGGCUUCUGACUACUUCUUAGGCUUGUAUGUUACAAUAUUAUAGCCAUAUUCAGGGCCAUAUAUCUAUCUAUAUAGCUACCAAGUGAAGCUUUCAUGAAACCUAAGUAAAGGCUCUGGUUGAAAAAGAAACAAUGGGGUAUUACUCUGGGGUUCUUCUUCCUUGCAUUUCCUAUGUUGUUCUUUCGCUUUUUCUAGUAGCUUUGCAUGUAAAUGUUGCUAUGGCAGAGAGGUCUACUUUUAUUGUCCACAUGGACAAGUCUCUCAUGCCCAAGUCCUUUACUAGCCAUCAGCGUUGGUAUUCUUAGGGUUUAGGGUUUAGGCUCUUCAAGUCUCUCUGCCCUUGAUCUCGAACUGGAGCAAGUUCGGAUCACUUGAUCAUGAACUUGAAAAGCUCAGAUACCUUUGUUCUUGUGUCUAAUGCCUUUAUAUAGGCAUAGCUCAUCAUGCAUUUCUCUUUGUGCACGUACCAUGCAUGGAAGCAAAGUCAAGCUUCCUCCUUGUUUCACGCUCUAUGUUGGCAUGCUAACUAAUGCAUACUUCCAUCAACAUUCAACAAAUGCUGCACCACCCUAGCUACACAUAUAGCGAGCCUUCCUUUUACAUUUAUUGGGUCACCAAAGUAAUAAUUCUUCUUGCUUUCCUCAUGUGUAAUCCAACACAUGGUUUCUCACCUCCACUAAGGAGGGACCAACCCAACAAUUAUGUCGUUCUCUUGUGUUCUACAAAUUUUACCUGUAGGAAUCCUAGAUUGAUGCAAGUCAUGUAGUAUUGACUUAACAUACAACUCCAAACCUAUAAACAUCUUGAUUUAGUGGAGGGAAGAACCACAAUAGGUUUCAUUACUUUGUGCUACAUUUUCUGUUUCUUUCAGUUAGGUGGUAAGAGUCAUUGAGUCUAGACAAAAGGAUUUCCAUUUCUAGUUUAAAAUUUUAGGUCUGGUUUUUAUCUAUGAGAUGUAUUAUUGCUGGAAUACUUUUUCAUUGAACUCUUUGAUAAUAGUAUUACUGCAUUAGUAUUACUUCUGUUGAUAAGCUUGUACUAACCUAAAUAUAAACCUUGAUCGGUCUUCAACUAGUACAAAUAUAUUUUUUGAAAGGAAACUAGUACAAUUAUUGAUAGCCAAAUAUAGUUAUGAAAACAAAUGGGACCUAAGUAAUUUUCAUUCUCAUUUUUAAAAUUUUUUUUCCAUAGUCUCAGAACUCAUAUUCUCUAGCCCUUUUAUAUCAAGGAUGUCAUAAUGCAUAUGCAUGCCCAAGCAAAGCUCUAGUUGCAAAAGAAACAUGGGGAUCAAUUGUGGUGUUCCUCUUCCUUACAUUCUCUAUGUUCUCCAGACUUUUCUGUUAGCUCUCCAUUUCAACACUUCUUUGGCAGAGAGAUCCACUUAUAUUGUCCACAUGGACAAGUCUCUGAUGCCCAAGUUUUUCACUAGCCAUCAACAUUGGUAUUCCUCCAUUGUUGAUUCCUUCAAAACUGAAACUCAAACAGAUAGCCACAGCUUCUCACCAUCCAUUUUAUACACCUAUGACAAUGCAUUCCAUGGUUUUUCUGCAGUUCUUUCUAUAGAUGAACUCGAGACCCUAAAAAAGUCCCCCGGUUUUGUUUCAGCUUACAAUGACAAAACUUUCACACUUGACACAACCCAUACCAGUGACUUCCUCUCCCUCAACCCUUCUGCCGGCCUUUUGCCGGCCUCGAAUCAUGAAGAAGACAUCGUCAUUGGUGUCAUUGAUACCGGUGUCUGGCCAGAAAGCGAGAGCUUCAAAGACGAUGGAGUCAUGACCAAAGACAUUCCGGCUAGGUGGAAGGGAACAUGUGAGGUUGGACAAGAGUUCAAUGCCUCUUUGUGUAACAAAAAGUUGAUUGGAGCUAGAUACUUUAACAAGGGAAUUAUGGCUGCAAACCCCGGCGUCACACUUAGCAUGAACUCUGCUAGGGACAGUGAAGGCCAUGGGACUCAUACAUCCUCCACCGCUGCAGGGAACUUUGUCAAUGGCGCAUCUUAUUUUGGCUACGCUAAUGGAACAGCCAGAGGUGUCGCACCACGCUCAAGGGUUGCAAUGUACAAGGUCAUUUGGGAUGAGGGGCGUUACGCGUCUGAUGUUCUAGCUGGUAUAGACCAAGCUAUUGCUGACGGUGUGGAUGUAAUUUCCUUGUCCAUGGGGUUUGAUGGAACGCCACUCUAUGAAGAUCCUAUAGCAAUAGCAUCUUUUGCAGCCAUGGAGAAGAAUGUGGUGGUUUCAACUUCAGCCGGAAACGAUGGCCCUGGCCUUGGAUGGUUGCACAAUGGUAUUCCUUGGGUCUUGACUGUUGCAGCUGGCACUAUAGACCGCUCCUUUGGCGGAAUACUAACUCUUGGGAAUGGUUUAACCAUUACUGGGUCUAGCUUGUUACUAGAAAAUGCCAUAGUAGAAAAGGUUCCACUGGUGUACAACAAGACCUUCUCAGUUUGCAACUCGACAAAGGUACUAUCAAAUGCCCCAGAGGGAGUCAUCAUCUUAUGUGACGAGAGUGAUGAUAUUCGAUUUCAGAUAUCUCAGUUCAUUGGAAUACAUGUGCUUGGGGCUAUUUUUAUUGGCAAAGAUCCUGAAAUAUUUGAUGAAGGAGGUGUGACAUUUCCUCUCGUGGUGGUAAGUCCGGAUGAUGCAUCAGCACUAAUCAAGUAUGCUACAAGUAGCGAUGAACCUUCUGUGACCAUGAAAUUCCAACAAACAUUUCUUGGCACCAAGCCUGCACCGGCUGUGGCAUCUUACACUUCAAGAGGACCUUCACCAGCUUAUCCAGGAAUCAUGAAGCCGGACAUAAUGGCACCGGGGUCAUUAGUUUUGGCUGCAUGGCCUCCGAAGGUUGCAGCAGCCCGAGUUGGGUCGGAUGUGAUCUUUUCAAGUGACUACAAUAUGAUAUCUGGCACAUCCAUGGCUUGCCCUCAUGCCUCAGGCGUAGCUGCUCUAUUGAAAGGUGCACACCCCGAAUGGAGUGCAGCUGCAAUUAGGUCUGCCAUGGUGACCACAGCCAACCCACUGGAUAACACUCUGAAUCCAAUUCGUGACAAUGGUGAUCAUAACUUCAACCCUGCUUCACCUUUGGCAAUGGGAGCAGGUCAGGUGGAUCCUAAUCGAGCACUUGAACCAGGCUUAAUAUACGAUGCAACCCCUCAAGACUAUGUCAAUCUCUUGUGCUCCACAAAUUUUACCGCUAAGCAAAUCUUAGCCAUCACUAGAUCACCUGCCUAUGAUUGUUUCAAUCCAUCUUCUGAUCUGAACUAUCCCUCCUUCAUUGCUUUGUAUGAUCGUCGUCAUGACACAAAGAAGCUAAAGGUCCAAAAAUUUCAGAGGACAGUAACAAAUGUGGGACAUGGUGCAGCUACGUACAAGGCUUCGGUGAUAGCUCCACAGGGUUCUAAAGUGACAGUGUCACCGGAUACAUUGUUCUUUUCAGAGAAAUAUGAGAAGCAAAGCUACACUCUUACAAUAAGUUACAAGGGGAAAAAGAAAGGAAAUGUGUCAUUUGGUGAAAUUGUUUGGGCGGUAGUAGAUUUAAAGUACAUGGUCAGGAGCCCCAUUGUAGUGUCUCCUCUUGUUUCAGUGUCUUAAGUGAGUGGUGUUGUCCAUGAAACUCAGAGGUUCAGACCAUCAUAAAUAAGAUAUUAGCAUUAUAACAUAUGUUUAUCAUAACCUCUUGUAUUUCUUAUAUCUUAAUGAAAUAAAUUGAUUACUUUGUUAUGCAAGUACGAGUAGAAUGGAAGAACUGAAUUGAAUUCGUGAGUCUUGCUUAUUAGCUUCUUUGAUGUUCAUCAACUUGGACCAACUUUAUACAUUGUUAGGUUUUGUUAAUCUUCCCAUACUGUUAGAUACUGCAUCCUUUACAGACUUAUCAUGUGAAAUGACAAAGACUUGAUGAUGAUGAUGAUGAUAUGUAACAAAUUUCUCCAAGAAGGAAAGUAAUAGGUUGUGAAAGUUUUUGAUGAGCACAUGCAAGAAGCUAGCUGGCUAGGUGCUAAGUUUUUUUUUUUUUGGAAUUAAUGAAAUGGGUAGACCCUUUAUAGGAGCCCAAACAGACCAAAUUACAAUUAAACUAAGAUAAAUUACCACUAAGCUCAAUCCACAUGGAAAUGGUAAAAGAGAGUAACCCUAAAAAAAAGUUUACAUCAAACCCUAAACUAUUAGCACAGCCGCCGCCGCCGCCUUGACGAACCCUAGCUGCAGCCGGCGAUGCCGCUGCUACUGCCGCUAGUGACCAAGAGGUCGUGAGAUAUGCCAAAAUGAAAGGAAGAUGACCGAUAAUUUGCUGCCAAGAAAAUCUAACAACACAAAUCCUGUCAAAACCAAAGGAAAUGGAGAUGAAAGAGAAGGUGUAAGUUUUUCAAUUACAAAACAAAGCUUAUUCCAUUUUGGCCUCUAUCCUUCUUCUGCAAUCGGCCCCAUUACUUACUUAGAAUCAAAAUGGUGUGUGAAAGCAAGGCAGAUAAGCUUAAUUAGUCCUUUUUUUUUCCUCUGAUACCACAAUCCUUAGUUGGUAAGGCUCUGUAUAUCUGGUCUUUUGCUGAAUACCUACAUACCGAUUCGGCGAUUCCCCAUCACUGAAUAAUGAAAAUGCUAUGUAAUAGCUAGGAAAAAGGAUUCCAUUUCCUAUAUUUUUAAGUAUAUAACACUUUAUUUAGGUGUGAUUAUGUGCGGACAUAAUCAAAUUAUUGUCUACACAUGUCACCAUGUGCAAUUUAGGCAGUACAAUAUGAUACAAUGCAGUGACUUUAGUGGCCAAAGAGCAAGUGAUAGGAACCCGGCCUUCAACUCAAUUAGAGUCUAAAUUUAGAUAAUGAACAAAAAUUAGAGUCUAAAUGACUAAAGCUAGCUUAGCUGGCAUGGAUUAAUUGAAUUAUUUACAACAAGGUUACGUACAUGUGAAGCUGAGCCAAUUAGGAUUCAUUUUUGAUCAAAAUGUUCCAUACAUCAAUCCUUGCUAUAUGAAUAUGAGCGUCACAAAAUGCAUGGUUCCUCUCGGUUCGUCAAAUUAAGGUACUUAUUGGGAGCUGGGGCUAUACUAAUAUCCAACGACACACUGAAUUGUAUGAACUGGGAGGUGUUCUUUGUGCUUGCGUUGUGAUUAGCCCAAAAGAUAUAUAUGCACAAUUGUAUGUGAAUGUGAUCAAAUAUGUGAACAGUAAUCCGUACCCUCUGGUAAGCGUGAAGUUUCAAGCAACCAUUCUUGGAACAAAUCAAUCCUGCUACAACUGCAUGCGGCCUUUUGUAUUGUUCAAGAGACCAUUCAAUUAUCCUACUUGGAUUCCAAAUGAAAUAGUUGUGGCCAAACCGGGAGUAGUUUCGUUCCAAAACGUACCGUCCAAUUCGAGAUCACGGUUUCACGGUUGCAAUUUGCAGCUUGCUUCUCUUCUAAGGCUAAGGCAUUGGAUCCGGCCGGGUUUGAUUUGUGAAAUUGCAUGUGCCUCCCUGACUGUGCCAGAAAAUAUUACAGUAGCCCGCCCAAAAUGGGAAGACAGUAGCUCAUGAAAACCAAAGCUGAAACAGGUUAACAUUGAAAUGGAAAAGCAAAUUUGAAUGCAGCUGAUUUUCGAUACCCUCUUGGCCUCUUCUUGUAUUGUCAUUUACUGGCAGAGAUAAUAGUGAAAACAACCUCUUCUUGUAUUGUCAUUUACUGGCAGAGAUAAGUGGUAGUGAAAACAACUGUAACCAUAUCCUCCACAACCCAAAAGAACUGUACUAUUGCUUGUUAGUCCCUCCCUUUCUCUUAUUUUGAAUUUGCAACAGGCAUUGAUAUCGAUCAAGCUUGAAUGUGAUUAAAACCUAGUCAAUAUUUAAACAUGUUUCUAAAGUAUGCAUUACAGUUUCAAUCAGUUCAUGCUCAUCGAUCUUGUUCAAAGAAAACUUCUCAUAUCAACUUAGGUUGCCCAUAAAAGAUUACUGGAAUGUAUGUUAUUGUCGAACCCGAAUUAUGUUCCGAAUUUCUAACUAAGAUUUGAGAUUUCAGUGGAGUGUGUUAUAUAGAGAUCGGAGAUUUCAUGGUAAACCAGUUAAGAUGCCUUGCCUGUGAUAUUUUCUGGGAACCAAGAACUUGAUAUAAACAAUAACUAGAAGUCGUUCCAUUUCAUGGAUGUGUAAGGGUAAGAAGUAAAAACAUAAUUCAACACUGAAAACACUGAAAGUUGAAAGAUUUUAAUUCAUAGCUCUUUAGCACCCUAACUUCAUCCAUUAGCUACCAUAUUGUUCCAAAAUAGCUCCCAUUUCCACUCACACUAAUCAUUACAUCAGACUCUUAAAUGGACCAAGCUAGCUAGCUUAAAGCCUUAAACACACAUACUUAAUUAACGCAAUCUAAUAAAACCCCAAAUUAAGCCUCUUCUUAUCCCUCUCAAGCAUCACAUCCACACCUGAAUCUCAUCGCCCCGACGGCGACUAUGUAAAGAUAAUAGACCCCAGACGCGUGCCAACCACAAGCGAAACCAGGCGAGCGCAGACGAAGAGGGGCGGCAUAGUGACAAUGGCGACGAGCAAGUAGACUAGGUAACAAACGGAGAAGAUAGCGGUGAUGAAGAAGUGGCCAUCAGGGCAGUCACAAAUAUCGUGGUAGUAGACCCUCAUACGAAGAGUAUUGAUUGCGGCGGUGGCUGAGUAGCUGCCCUCAAAGAGAAGCAUCAUCCGACUGUCCAAGAGUGAGGAGCUAUUAAUCUUUGAGAGAUAAUCCUCACCAGGAAGAGUCAUGUGACAAAAUGAGAGGCAGAAUAUAAGCAUCAGAAACCGAGGACUCGAAAAGAACUGGAUCAUGGUUACAGACUGAGGUAAGGAGAGAGAUGAGAGAGGAAAUUUUGAUCCAAAUUAAGGAGGCGACGUUUGGGGGUUUUGUAGCAAUAAUGUGAUAUUUAUACCGGACAAACUAGCUAGGGUUAAUAGAAAACAGACGCCCCACUAAUAAAUCGACACCUGAGCUGCUUCUCAAUCCCAAAAUUGUCUUAAUUAUCGUCAUAAUUAGUAAGGAUAAGAUGUUUCAUGCAGAGAUCGAUAGUACGUUUAGAACAUUACUAUUGAAUUGAUCAGUGGAGAUCGUUAUGAUGAGCAUCAAUAGCCUUGCGGAGAAAGAUCUCAUAAAUCAAAUCAAGAAUUAACAUAUGCGGCCGGUGACUUCAAAACAAAUUUCUUCCAUCCCUUUCGCUCCCAUGUCUGAAUAAGUGGAGUCAUCAUUUUAGUAGAGGGAUUUUGGCAUAUCAUUGAGCGACGAUCAUUGUAAGCACCUCACUUGUUCAUGUUUUUUCCGCAAAUGCUCUUCACAAUUUAGUGCCUCUUUAUGUCCGUAGAUGAAUUAUAUAGGGGUAUUACCAAAGUCCCCGUUGUUCCUCUCGGUUUAUAUAUAGCAAUGCCAAAGACAUUGGGUAUAUAAGUGUACUCAAAUCAACCACAUCACUUCAUCAAAGGUACUUGGGGCAAUAGGGGGUGUUUCUUGCGCUUGGGUUGUAUAUUAAAGUGUAACUAGUUAUCCAUAUUUUCUGCUUUACAUAAUAAUAAAAAGUAUGAAACUUCAAAAGGCAAAAGCUACUCAUCUUGAAAUUAGAUUGGAGUCGUGUCUUUUCUCAGUUAACACAAUCGAGCUUAAAUAACUUACGCGUGUCAUGUUUUGUAAAACUAUUAAAAUUAUUAUUUUCAGUGGUAUUAAGUGAUUUUUCAACCUUGUGUUGUCUUCAAUUCUACUCAUACUGAUCUCGGGAAACUCAGUUUUCAAUAAAAGUUAUGCAUUACCUCACCCCUCAAGUUUCCCCCUAAUUUGAGUAAAAACCUCUUGCUAGCACGUACAAGUAUUUAGACAAAUUUCACUUUUUUUUAGUCUCCUAUUUUUCAUUUGUGUGUGCUUAUAGACACUGUCUAACAUUUUUGGAACAAUUCAAGCAUUAAAAAUUCGUGUCUUUACUCAUUUUACGCACAAUCAAGUUUAAAUGACUCGUCUGUGCCGUAUUUUAUAAAACUAUUAAAAUUGUUAUUUUCAGAGGUAUUGAUUGCAUUUCUAAUCUCGUGAUGUCUUCAAUUAUUCUCACACUGACUUGGGGAAGCUCACUUACUAAAAAUUACGUAUCACCUCUCCCCUCAAGUUUUGCCUGAUUUGAUUUAAAAUCUUUUGCUAUAGCAUACGAGUUUUUAGGAAAUUUCAUUUUUUCUUGACCUUUAGUUUUUUUCAUUUGUGAGUGCUUAUAGACACCUCCUAACAUCUUUUGAACCAAUAUGGCAUCAAAAAUCCGUAUAUUUUCUCAUUUUACGUGUGAUCGAGUUUAAAUAACUCACGCGUGCCGUGUUUUGUAAAGCUAUUGAAAUUGUUAUUUUCUGAGGUAUCAAGUGCAUUUCUAAUUAAGCUUGUGAUGUCUUCAAUUCUUCUCAUACUGAUCUGGGAAAGCUCAGUUUUCAGUAAAAAUUAAGUAUCACCUCUCCCCUCAAGUUUCACAUGAUUUUAGCCAAAACUCCUUGUUCACAUGAGUUUUUAGAAAAAUUUCACUGUUUUUGGACCUCAUGUUUUUCCCAUUCUUGGGUGCUUAAACACAAUGUCAAGGAUCUGUACCAUUUCAUCUUAGUCCUUGCCUAUUUAUCCUCUAUCUUAUUUUGAAUUUUGCAACAAGGGCAAUAUUAAAUGUAAUUAUUAAGCUAGACUUGCUAGUUUCAUCUCAUUCAAAGAAAACUUCUCAAAUUAACUAAACAUU